AUCCAGACCUCAGCUGGCUGUGGCUUCAUUCCUACUUAGCAGGUAUUUUUUAUGUUCCAUUUUUGGUCCCCUGAGAUAUUUAUUUUUUUAGUGUUGCUGUGCCUUUUAAAUUGUCUCUUUAUAGUAUAUACUUGCCAUGCUUUGGUGUGGGUAUCUCAAAAUGUAAAAUUAAAAGACAUCUUAACUAGUAGUCCAAAUUGGUUUAGCUCUCAAGAGUCCUUUACUAGUGUUGUUUGGACUCUUCAGUGAUUUACAAAAGACUGUAUUAGUUUCCUAAGGCUGCCAUAACACAAUGCCACAAGCUGGACAACUUAAAACAACAGAAAUUUCAUUCUUUCACAUUUCUGGAAACUAAAAGUCUAAAACCAAGACAUCAGCAGGGACAUGUUCUCUUUGAAGGCUAUAGAAGAGGAUCUUUCCUUGCCUCUUCAUAGCUUUUGGUGGUUGCUGGCAAUCCUUAAUGUUACAAUCACUGCCUCCAUCUUCACAUGGCAUUCUCCCUAUAUCUGUGUCUCUAUUUUCACUUCUUCUAAGGGCACGAGUUAUUGGAAUGGGGCCCACCCUAAUCCAGGAUGACCCCAUCAUAACUAAUUACAUUUGCAAAGACCCUAUUUCCAAAUAAGGCCACAUUCACACGUUUAGAGCAGCAUGAAUUUUGGGAGGACACUAUUCAACUCAGUACACUAGGCUAUUGGCCUAAUGGCCAGCCCUGCUCCUGACUGAGGCAAGGAGGUACUUAGUUUACCUCCCUAUUCCCAGCUCUAGCUGAAGCCGUUUGGCUCCCCCAUUAAAUGUUAUAUUCAAAUGUCGGAUUGAAUUAAGGAAUGAGAAGCCAUCACUUAACCUUGCUUCAGUCAGAACAUUGGAGUUCAUGUCCAACAGUGGAUCAGUAGCAAAUCCCCAUGUAUGAAAGAUGGCAAAUGGUUUUUUCCCUUUGUACCCUAAUACUCCUGAGCAAAGUGCUCAGGUCCAGAAGGAUAGGCACAGUUCUUUCAAGAGGUAACCUGGGAAUUCAUAGUUGGAAAAGGAAGUCCAAGAAUACUUCAUUUACCUAGCAUCAUUUUACCUUUUGUUCUGGCAAUAAACAAUCCCAAGUGGCUAAACUUCCUGCAUUUGAACCUGCUUUGUACUGUAUUGCUGUUUCUGCCCCACUGUCAGUGGCCAUUUCUGAUAUCUGUCAGCCUCAUUUCUAGUAGCUCUGGUCCUCUCUAAUGUGCUGCUUCUACGUGCUACAGGCAGAGACUUGGCAGCAGAACUUGUUAGACAUGUGAGUGUAAGACAGAGAGACCGUGUGCAAAGCCUGCAGAGUUCUCUGGCAAAGGAAGGGCAGAAGAUAUAGGAUUAUUUCAGCUCUUCAGAGACCUUUCUGAGGUUGAUAACUUUAUGAUUCCGUUAGGUGACCUUGGAAUAACUGAAGCUUCACUGCAAUCUGCAGCAUUCACAGACUUUAAGUUUGGACGCAGUCUCCCAUUUGUACCACUGGAGGCCUAGGAAGGUCAGAGUGGUGAAGCUGCGACCAGCCCACAGAUUAGGCUCUUCCUGCCGUUCCAUCUUCCUCCAUCUUGCCUUAGUGGUUUCCUCCCAGAUGCCUAGGGCAGAGCAAGGCUCCAGGUACCAGACCCUGGGUAUCACAGCAGGUAAAUUCUAGGGGAUACUACAGGCAGUAUAGCAUGGUAGAAAGAAGGGCCUUCAAACCAGCCAGACCUAGGUUCGAAUCCCCACUCUGACCACUUAUUAUCUUUAUGACUUGGGAGAAAUAACUUAAACUCUCUGGUCUUGAUUUAAAUGUGUGUAAAAUGAAAAUAAUAAUGUGUACCUUGCAUGGAUGCUUUUUGGGUAUAAUUAAGACAAAGCAAUAAACGCAUUUAACAUACUGUAGACACUUAAUGGUAGCCUAGCAUUCAUAUUAUUGAUGUUAGUCUUUUUUUUAAUUUAUUUGUUUAUUUUAAAAGAGAGAGAGCAUGCACGCAAGCAGGGGAAGGGCAGGGGGAGAGAGAGAGAGAGAGAGAGAGAGAGAGAGAGAGAGAGAGAAUCCCAAGCAGUCUCCUCACCAUCAUCGCAGAGCCCGACUCAGGGCUCAAACCCAUGAACCAUGAGAUCAUGACCUGAGCCGAAACCAAGAGUUGAAUUCUUUACCAACUGAGCCACCGAGGACCCCCAGAUGUUAGUCUUUUAAAUAAAAACUUAUUUUAUUUUGAUAAGAACACUUAUAAUGAUAUCUGUCUUCUCAACAAAAUUUUAAGUGGACAAUAUAUUAUUGCUGACUAUAGGUUCAGUGUUGUACAGUAGAUCUCUAGAACUUAUGUUGCUUCACUGAAAACUUUAUGCCCCUUGAUUAGUAACUCCCCAUUUGUUCCUCCCAUCAGUCCUGGUAACCACUAUUCCAUCCUUUGAUUCUGUGAAUUUAACUAUUUUAGAUACAUCGUAUAAAUAGAAUUGUGCAGUAUUUGUUUUUUUCUGUUACUGCUUUAUUUCACUUAGCAUAAUGUUCAUUAUGUAGCAUAAGGUUCAUCCAUGUCGUUGCAUAUUACAGGAUUUCCUUCUUUUUAAAGGCUGAAUAGUAUUCUUUUGUAUGCAUAUACAUUUUCUUUAUCCAGUCGUCAGUGGACAUUUAGGUUGUUUCCACCUCUUGGAAACUGUGAAUAUUGUUGCAGUGAACACGGCAGUGCUAAUAUCCCUGUAAGAUCUUGGUUUCGGUUUUUUUUGGAUAAAGACCCAGAAGUGGGAUUGCUAAGUCAUAUGAUAGUUCUAUUUUAAAUUUCUUGAGAAACCUCCAUAUUGUUUUCCAUUGCAGCUAUAUCUUUUUGCAUUCCUACCAACAGUGUGCAAGGCUUCCAAUUUCUCCACAUCCUCACCAACAUUCACUGUCAUUAGCUUUCUUGGUGAAAGCCAUCCUAACAGGUGUGAGGUGAUAUCUACUGUGGUUUUGAUUUGCUUUUUCCUGAUGAUUAGUGAUGUUGAGCAUUUUUCAUAUGUCUGUUGGCCAUUUGUAUGUAUUCUUUGGAAAAAUGUCCUUUCCAGUUUUUGGCCCAUUUUUAAAUAGAGUUAUUAGAAUUUUUGUUAUUGUUGUUGUCGUUUUGUUUUGUUUUGUUUUGCUAUUGAGUUGUGGGAUUUCCUUAUAUAUUUUGAAGAUUAACCACAUAUCAGUGAUACAGUUUGCAAAUGUUUUCUUCCAUUCUGUUGGUUGUCUUUUCACUCUGUUGAUUGUUUCAUUUGAUGCACAGAAGCUUUUGUUUGUUUGAGGUAGUCCCAUUUCAUUAUUUUUGGCAUUGUAGCCUGUGCUUUUGGUGUCAUAUCCAUGAAAUCACUGUCAAGACCAAUGAAGCUUUUCCCCUAUGUUAUCUACUAGUUUUACAGUUUCAGGUUAAGUCUUUAAUCCAUUUUGAGUUGAUUUUUGUGUAUGUGUAAGGUGGGGGUCAGUUUCAUUCUUUUUAAUGUGGAUAUCCAGUUUUCCCAACACCAUUUUGUUGAACUGACCAUCCUUUCCCCAUUGUAUAUUUUUGGUACCCACGUCAAAGAUCAGUUGACUGUAUAUGUGUGGAUUUAUUUCUGGGCUCUCUAUUCUAUUCCAUUUUUCUCUGUAUAUGUCUCUAUGCCAGUGCAAUACCAUUUUGAUUACUGUACAUUUGUAAUAUAUUUUGAAAUCAGGAAAUGUGAUGCCCCUAGCUUUGUUCUUUCUCCAAAUUGAUUUGGCUACUUGUGGUCUUUUGUGAUUCCAUAUGAAUUGUAGAAUUUGUUUCUUCCAUUUCUGUAAAAAAUGCCACUGGGAUUUUGAUAUGGAUUACAUUGAAUCUGUGGACUGCUUUGGGUAAUAUGGACAUGUUAACAAUAUUAGUUCUUGUGAUCCAUGUAUAUCUUUUAAUUUAUUUGUGUCUUCUUUAAUUUAUUUCUUUUUUCUUUUUUUAAUCUUAUUUAUUUAUUUUGAGAGAGAGAGAGAGAGAGUGCACAUGCAAGUGGGAGAGGGGGAGGGGCAGAGAGAGGGAGAGAGAAAUCCAAGCAGGCUCCAUGCUGUCAGUGCAGAGCCCUAAAUGGGGUUCAAAUUCACGAACCAUAAGAUCAUGACCUGAGCUGAAACCAGGAGUCAGACACUUAACUGACUGAGUCACCCAGGUGCCCCUAAUUUAUUUCUUUUUUUUAAAGUGAUCUCUAUGCCCAACAUGGGGAUUGAACUCACAACCCCAAGAUCAAGAGUUGCAUACUCUACUGACUGAGCCAGCCAGGGACCACUAAUUUCUUUCGGUGUUUUUUAGUUUUUAGUAUGCAAGUCUUUUACCUCCUUAGUUAAGUUUAUUCCUAGGUAUUUUAUUAUUUGUGGUGGAAAUUGAAUUGUUUUUCUAAUUUUCUUUUCAGAUAGUUCAGAGUUAGUAUAUAUAAACUAAACUAAUUUUUGUAUGUUGAUUUUGUGUCCUGCAGCUUUAUUGAAUUUGCUCAUUAAAGUUAUAACAGGUUUUUUUAAUGGAGUCUUCAGGGUUUUCUACAUAUAAGAUCAUGUCAUCUGAGAACAAGGACACUUUUACUUCUUCCUUUUCUAUUUGGAUAUGCCUUUUAUUUCUUUUUAUCACCUAAUUAUUUUGGCUAAGACUUCCAGUACUACAUUGAAUAGAAGUGGCAAGAGUGGGCACUCUUGUCUUAUUCCUGGUCUUAGAGGAAAAUCUUUCCAUUUUUCACCAUUGAGUAUGAUGUUUUAGUUGUGGGAUGUCCAUAUAUAGUCUUUAUUGUGUUGAGGUUCUUUUCUUCUAUUCUUAGUUUACUGAGAAUUUUUCUCAUGAAAAGGUGUUGAAUUCUGUAAAAUGAUUUUUCUGUAUCUAUUGAGAUGAUCAUGUGAUUUUUGUCCUUUAUUCUGUUACUGUGUUGUGUUACAUUACUCAAUUUGCAUAUAUUGAACCAUCCUUGCAUCCCAGGGAUAAAUCCCACUUGGUCAUGUUGUAAGAUCCUUUUAACGUGCUGUUGAAUUUGCUAGUUUUGGUUUGCUAGUAUUUUGUUGAAAAUUUUGCAUCUAUAUUUAUUAGGUAUAUUGGCCUGUUGCUUUCUUAUGAUGUCUUUGUCUGGCUUUGGUAUCAGGAUAAUUCUGCCCUCCAAGAAUGUGUUUGGAAAUAUUCCCUCCUCUUCCAUUUCUUGGAAGAGUUUAGGAAAGCUUGGAUUAGUCCUUUAGUAUUUGAUAGAAUUCACCAGUAAAGCAAUUUGCUCCUGAGUUUGUCUUUGUUGAGAGGCUUUAAAUUAUUUUUAAAAAAUUUUAAUGUUUAUUUUUGAGAGACAGAGCACGAGUGGGGGAGGGGCAGAGAGAAAGAGAGACACAGAAUCCAAAGCAGACUCCAGGCUCUGAACUGUCAGCACAGAGCCCAAUGCCAGGCUCAAACUGUGAGAUCAUGACCUGAGCCAAAGUCAGACACUUAACCAACUGAGCCACCCAGGCUCCCCAGGAGAGGUUUUAAGUUAUUAAUUCAAUCUCCAUACUAGUUAUAGGUCUGUUAAGACUUCUUUUUCUUCAUAACUGAGUCUUGAUAGGUUGUGUGUUUCUAGGAAUUUAUUUAUUUCUUCCAGGUUAUCCAGUUUGUUGGCAUUUAAUUGUUCAUAGUAGUUUCUUAUGAUCCUUUGUAUUUCUGUGACAUCAGUUGUAAUAUCUCUUCUUACAUUUCUAAUUGUAUCUACUUACUUCUUUCCGUUUUUCUUAUUUUAGAUAAGGGUUGUCAGUUUCAUUUAUCUUUUUAAAAAACCAAUUCUUAGUUUUGUUGAUUUUUCCUUUUUUUAUAUUUUUUUAUAUUUUCACUUAUUUCUGCUCUAAUCGUUAUUUCAUUCCUUCUGCUAACCUUAGACUUAGUUUGUUCUUCUUUUCCCAGCUCCUUGAGGUGCAAAGUCUUUUACUUGAGAUCUUUCACUUUUUUAAAUGUAGGCACUUAUUGCUAUGAACUCCUCUCUUGGUACUGCUUUUGUUGCAUCCCAUAAGUUUUGGUAUAUUGUGUUUUUGUUCUCAUUUGUCUUGAGAUAUUUUCUAAUUUAUUUUUUAUUUCUUCUUUGACUCAAUGCUUUUUCAAGACUGUAGUGUUUAACUUCCACAUACUCGUGAAUUUUCCAGUUUUCUUUCACUGUUGAUUUCUAGUUUCAUUCCAUUGUGGUCAGAAGAGAUAUUUGGUAUGACUUCACUCUUCUUAAAUUUAUUAAGACUUGCUCUGUGAUCUAAUGUGAUCUAUCCUAGAGAAAGAUUUGUGUGUGCUUGAGAAAAAUGUUUAUUCUGCUGCUGUUGGGUGAAAUGUUCUCAGUAUACCUUUUAGAUCCAUUUGGUGUAUAGUGUUGCUCGAAGUCUCAGUUUCCUUAUUUAUCUUCUGUCUGUAUAGUCUAGCCAUUAUUGAAGGUGGAGUACUGAAGUCUGUUACUAUUACUGUUUUGCUGUUUACUUCUGCCUUCAGUUAUAUCAAUGUUUGCUUUCCACCUUUAGGUGCUCUGAUAUGGGUACAUAUAUAUUUAUAAUUAUAUCUCCUUGGCAGUUCAACACUUUUAUCAUUAUAUAAUAUCCUUCUUUGUCUCUUAUAACAGUUUUAACUUUAAAGUCUAUUUUGUGUGAUAAAAAAGCAUAGACACUCCUGCUCUCUUUUGGUUACCAUUCACAUGGAAUAUCUUUUUCUAUCCUUUCACUUUCAGCCUAUUGUGUCUUUAAAUAUAAAAUGAGUUUCUUGUUGACUGCAUAUAGUGGGAUCUUCUUUUUCUUAUCCAUUUUAGCCACUUUUCACUCUGUGUCUUUUGAUUGCAAUUUAAUCCUUUUACAUUUAAUGUAAUUAUUGAUAAGGAAGAUUCACUAUUGCCAUUUUGCUAAUUGUUUUCUGUUAGUUUUGUAGUUCAUUUUUCUGUCUUGUCCUCUCUUUCCUCCUCUUCCUCUCUCUUCCUUUGUACUUUAUUGAUUUUUUACAUUGAUAUGCUUUGAUUCCCUUCUUUUUUCUUUUGUGUAACAUCUAUAGGUAUUUUUGUGUGUGUGGUUACCUUGGAGCUUAAAUAAAAUAUCUUGUAGUUAUUACAGGCUAUUUUAAGUGAUAACAAGUUAACUUCAGCAAUAUACAAACACUCUGCACUUUAAUUUCUCCAAAUAUGCUUUGUUAUUGCCACAAUUUACAUCUAUUCAGAUUGUGUAUCUUUAAAUAAAUUCUUAGUUAUAGCUGUUUUUUAAUACUUUUGCCUUUUAACUUUUAUAGUAUAAUUAGAAGUGAUUUAUCUAUCACUAUUACAAUAAUACAGUAUUCUAUAUUUGUCUAUACAUUUAAUUUUACCAAUGAGUUUCAUACAUUCUUAUGUUAUUAUGUUGCUGCUUACCAUCCUUUCAUUUCAACUUGAAAAACUCUCUUUAGCAUUUCUUGUAAGGUAGGUCUAGUGGUGAUGGAUUCUCUCAGCUUUUGCUUAUUUGAGAAAAUCUUUAUCUCAUUUUCAUUUUGGAAGGACAGUUUUGCCUGGGUAGUAUUCUUUGUUGGAAGUUUUUUCCUUCACCAUUUUGAAUCUAUCAUCCCACCCUUUUGUGGCCUGCAAGGUUUCUUCUGAAAAAUAAGUUCAUAACCUAACAAGAGUUUCCUUGUAUGAGACAAAUCACUUUUCUUUUGUUGCUUUCAAAAUCCUCUCUGUCUUUGAUUUUUGACAAUUUGAUUAUAAUGUGCCUCAGUAUGGAUUUCUUUGGGUUCAUCGUAUUUGUUGUCUUUUGGGCUCUUUGGAUCUGGAUGUCCAUUUCCUUCUGCAGAAUUGGGAUGUUUUCAGCCAUUUUUUAAAAUGAGCAAUAUAGAUAGAUAGAUAGAUAGAUCUUCUUAAUUGUUUCUCAUAAGUUCUUUAAGCUUUUUCAUGCUUUUAUUGCUCCUCUGGCUAAAUUGUUUUCAAUAACUUUUGAUUCAAGUUUUUAUUUCUUUCUUCUGCUUGGUCUAGUCUGCUGUUGAACCCCUCUAGCAAAAUUUUCAGUGCAAUUAUUUUAUUUUUAGGCUCCAUUAUUUCUGUUUAGUACUUUUUUAUAUUUUCUAUUUCUUUAUUGAAAUUUUCACUCUGUUCAUGCAUUGCUUUCUUGGCCUCAGUGCACAUCUUUAUGAUAAUUAUUUCGAAUUCUGUCAGACAAAUGAUAUAACUCCAUUUCAUUAGGGUCAGCUUUAUCAUGUUCCUUUGUUUAGAACAUCUUUGUCUAAUUCUUCAUUUUAUUUAACUCUCUGUGUUGGUGUCUGCACAUUAGACAAAGCAAGCACCUCUAUUAGUCUUCACAAACUGGCCUCAGACAAGAGAAGACUCUCACCAAUCAGCCUAGCCAGAGAUUCUGGGGGCCUCUACCAACUUUUUCCUUCCCCUACCAACUGUGCUUUUUUUACACUCACUCUGUGCCGAGCAAGGAACUUUGGAGCUAUGGCACCUACCAGUCUAAACCACCAUCUCCAUUUCCCCUAGAUGGCUGGAAAUGGAUCCAUCCAAGUUCCACAUCUAGCAAGAAAGAAACAAGUCCUCUGGGUAGCUUCUUUAGAAAAGCUGGGGUGCUGGAUGCAGAAACCUACCUCCUCCUUCCCCUGAGAGAAUCUGGGUGCCAAGGGGUUUCUCCCUGAUCAUAUAGCACUUUACUGGAUGCAGGGACUCUGGUAAGAGGGUGUCCCAAGCCUUCCUACUGGCCUUAGAGAGUGUGGUUUUAUGUUCACCUGGGAUACAGGAGCCUUUCAAUUCAUUUCUGGAUUUCUAACAGAAGGGAAUUUGUUCAUAAAUUGUUGUUGAAUUGGUUUGUUUGUGAGGGGAAAACAGGGCACAGGGCUUCCUACUCCAUCAUCUUAUUUACAUUACUCUGGAUGUUAAUCUUCUGUUCAUCCGUUUACUCAGCAUCAGAAAAUUCUUAUAGUUUCCUGUCUUUUCCUCUCUUUUCAGACACAGUAGCACAAGAGACAAACAGCCUUCUGUUCCUGCUGAGAGAUUGCUAAUAAGCACUAGUCCUCAGCUCCAUGAGUUGCAGAAUGAGUCAGUAAUACAGCCGCAGGCUUUAGGACAGUAGGCAUAUAUGACCAGCUCUCCCUCACUUUGCCUCUGGCCCCUUUUCUCCUAACACUAUGACUCUCAGGGCUGUAGACAAGCAAGUCCAAAUUGGCAGCUCACCCCUCCAGGGGGACUCAGGGGGCAAGAAGCCCUCAAGCUCAGCAUCUCACAAGUACUCAGAAGAUAUAGGCACAACUGUGUUCUCUACCCUUUGAAGAACUUCUUGAAGACCUUCAGAAGCAGAAGGAAGGUCUUAUUCCCUUCCCUUCCUCCUAUCCACAUCUUCCACCUGCCCGUUUACCACCUCAGUCAGCAUCUGAGGAAACAGAUGGAUAAGCAGCUACUGUUACAGAAAGGCCAACAUGAAGAUUCCAAUACUGGGGCCAUGUUGCUGGUCAGAAUCCAUCAGCCAUUUGCAAUAGCAUUUUUGAUGUUUUCAAAUCAUUUCUUGACUAUUUUUUUAAUCCAAUACCCAUUUUAGAGAUGAAGAAACUAAGGCAAAGAAGGAAGUGGAUCCCUGAGUGAGUCAAUAGCUGAAGUGGGGCCAGAGCCCUGGUUUCUUGCCUCUUUUGGCUCCUUCCAUUCUAUGUGAGCCCUGAAAGUUUGGAAUGAAGGAUUCAGAAGAUGGUGACCUGUAUGUCUACUACCUGUUAAUUAGUCAGCCUGAACUUCUUUGUAGGCCCUAGGAACUCAGGGCUUCACUCUAAACAAAGGACUGGCCAGGAUGUGGAAAGGGAAGGCCAAUGUCUUCAUCCUGGUUUUGUCACUCAAGCUCUAGACUCCUAGAUAUCACACACUGGCCAUGUAUGAAGAGUGAUCCUGGAGAGAAGGGCACCCAGGGAGGUCAGGAGCAGAGCUUGGGUGAGAAACCAGACCCUCACCUUCUCUGGGUCACUACAGGGCACUUACACAUUCUGCCCUGCUAUGGUUGCCUUUCUGAGCUUCACUUUCCCCAUUUGUAAAGUAGAUUUAACAUUCUCAUCAACUGUCUUAUAGAGGCUAUUAGAAAGCUCAGAGGUGAUAGGGUUAAGUGAGUCAUCUGUAAUCUCUGAAGUAGUAUCUGCACCUGACUUGGCACUCAAUCCCAUUCAUGGAGCAGCUACUGGGAGACAGGUGCCAAAUUAGGCAUUGUAUGUGAAUCAUUUCCAACUAGGCCUCAGAGGACAAGUGACUUAUCCAAUGACACUCAGCUGUUCACUGACAGAAAUGAGAUGAGAGCCUUUUCUGAUCAGUCCCAGAGGUCUGACACUAAGCUGGAGGUCAUAUUGCUGUGUGCAUAAGGUUGUUAGAUUUAACAAAGAAAGGACCCCAGUUACAUUUGAAUUUCAGAUAAAUAAUAAACAAUUUUUAGUGUAAGUAUAUACAUUGAGAUAUUUGGAACACAGUUAUACAAAAAAAUUAUUUGUUUAUCUAAAAUGCAAAUUUGACUGGGCAUGCUGUAUUUUUUUCAGCAACCAUAUGUGUAUAUGGAAUUGGCAUUGCAGGAGCAGCAGGUAGGCAGGCUGUCUAUAUAUUCAUUUUGAAGCAUCUAGUCAGCAGGCAAUAUGCCAGGGAAAGAAAUGAUCUCCCCACCAAAGCAAGUCACUGGUACUGUUCUCAGCUUGGGGCUACCAUAAACUAUGGUACUGAUGAAAAAGCCUGAUACUUUGUCCUGAUGAAAACCCCUCACCUAGGCUUAGGGCCCUUCUUUUUCCUUUCCUAACUGUUCCCAAGACCCUAUUUUUUCCAUUCAUUGGGACCCAUUUGGGGGUUAUUUUUAAAAUAUUUUAUCAAGGAUAAAAAGGAUAUUUUAAAGAUAGGCAAAGGUUUAAAUUCUAAGUCCAUCUAAAGAUGAGGACUAGGAUUUUUAAAAAGUGUUGCUACCUGUUUCUGGCCAAGAUGAAAUAACAGAUAUCAAAUUUACUCUCCUUCCUAAACAAUCAACAGACAAUAUGUAUUUUUAAAAACCAGUAUUUUUCAAGAUGGUGGAUAUCAGGUAAUGAAAGACAAAGAUGGGACACAAAUUAAGUGAGUGCUACAACUGUCCCAGCUUAUUGCCUAGAGAGAGAUGCCAGGCUGUGGGACAGGGAGGGAAAAUCCAGAAAAGAGCUUGGUGCUUAGCAUAUGGAAGGAAGCCUAAGACAAGUACACAAUGCCAGAGCAAGUGACUUCUUUCACUUUAUGUGUUGUACUAGUUUCCUAUAGCUGCUAAAACAAAUUGCCACAAACUUAGUGGCUUAAAAUAACGCAAUAUAUUAUCUUACAGCUCUGGAGAUCAGAAGGCAGAAAUGAUUUGGCAGGACUCCAUUCCUUCUGGAGGUUCUAAGAGAGAAUCUAUUUCUUUGCCUUUUCAAGCUUCUAGAGGCGCCCAUAUUCCUUGGCUUGUAGCCCCACAUCACUCCACUUCUGCUUCUUUCAUCACAUCUCCUUCUCUGUUAACAACCCUCCUGCAUCCCUCUUAUAGAGACCCUGUGAUUACAUUUAAAGCUAAUCCAGAAAAUCUAGGAUUAUCCCUCCAUCUCAAGAUCCUUAAAUCAGUCACAUUUACAAAGUCCCUUUUGGCAUGCCAGGUAACAUACUCCUAGGUUCUGAGGAUUAGAACAUGGACAUCAUCAAGGAGCAUUAUUCAACCACAGUGAGAAGGGUGCUUAUGUUUUCAUGAAUAAAUGAUGAUGAUAAGGCCAUUUUCUUUUGAGUACUUACUAUCUGCCAUAGAGUUUUGCAUUUAACUCUUGCAGGGACCCUAAAAGGGUAUUAUUCCAUCCUUAUCCUUUCAGUUGCCAAAACAACCCAGCUAGGAAGUGGGGGAUCUGGGGGAAGCUUCUAUUCUGAGGGGUAUACGUACUCCCUCAUGUCUGUUCCUAAACAUCUGACCACUUAUGUUACAAAGUUCUAUGUUAAUAUUCCAUCUUCUGCAUUUCUUUUUUUGAAAACAGCUUUAAUGUUUUUGCAGAGAAAAAUGAUACAUGCCCAUUUAAAACUGAAAACAAUAGUGAAAGUGCAAAGAAAAAUUAGGAUCACACUAAAUCUCAUUUUCCAAAGAUAACUAUUGUUAAUGUUUGGCGAACAUUCUCCAGACUGCUGUCUAUGCAUCAUAGAUAUGCUGUUCUAUAAAGCACUUAAUCUCCACCCUACAUCGUGACUAUCUUCCCAUGUCAGUACUUGUCAACUCCUUAAAACAGGCCAGCUGAGUCAAAGGCUGUGUACAUUGUACAUGUUAGUACACAUUGCCAAACAGCCUUCAAAAUGUAUCAAUUUGCAGUAUUUACCAAAAUUGCAAGACCUUCGCUGGUUUAGUCAACCUUUUAUUUUAUUUUUUUUCUAUAAUUUAUUGUCAAAUUGGCUUCCAUACAACACCCAGUUCUCAUCCCAACAAGUGCCCUCCUCAAUGCCCAUCACCCAUUUUCCCUCCCCCGCAACCCCCAUCCACCCUCAGUUUGUUCUCUGUAUUUAAGAGUCUCUUGUGGUUUGCCUCCCUCCCUCUCUGUAACUAUCUUUGGCAAUUUGAUGGGUGAAAAAUAACAUCUUUUCUUGGCAUUGCUUUGAUUAUUAUUGAUAACAUCUUUCCACACAUUUAUUGGCCAUCUAUACUUAUUCUCUUGGGGAAUGGUCUAUUCAGGGCCUUUCCCUAUUUUUCUAUUGGGAUGUUUGCUCUUUUCCUUAUGAUUUGCAAGAGCUCAUUGUGGAGAGGGCUAUAAGGCCUGUGUCAUAUCUGUGGCAAAUAUUUUUCUCACACUGUGUUAUUUUAUAUAUUUUUUAUAUAUCGUGUAUGACAUAUAUAAUCUGGUUUAUGGCAUUUUCUACCUAGAAGGUUUUCAUGUAUAUGCAGUCAAAUUAAUGACCUUUCUCUCUAUGGCUUCAAGGUUUUCUGUCACAUUUAGGAAAACCUUCUAUAACCCCAAAUGAGAAUUUCUAUAAUGAAAAGAGCUCCAUGUGUUCUUCUUGUACUUUUAUGGCUUCAUAUUCAACAUGGGAAGUCUAUGGCACAUUUGGAGUUUGUUUUGUGUAAGGAUUGAGGUAAAGGUGUGACUAUAGUUUUCUAAAUAGCUAUCACCAUUUAUGGAGUAAUACAUCCUUUUAACACUGAUUUUAAAUAGCACCUUUAUCAUACACUAAACUUGCAUAUAUACUUGGAUAUAUUUUUGGACUUUCUGCUCUAAUCAAUUGAUCUUUUUUUUUCCCCCUGUGCAGGAAUUUUUUGCUUCCCUAGCUGGUAGGGAGAGUUUGUCUUCAUUGUUCUUCUUUCUGAAUAUUCAUGGCAUGUGCUUAUUCUUCUUGAUGAUCUUUUGAAUAGUUUUAUCCAGUUCUGAAAAUCCUUUUACAAUUUUUAUUGAGAUUUUAUUGAAUUUACAGAUCAAUUUAUGGAUAAUUGGUGUAUUUUCUUUUUUAAAUGUUUUUAAAUAUAAUUUAUUGUCAAAUUGGUUUCCAUACAACUCAGUGCUCAUCCCAACAAGUGCCCUCCUCCCUGCUUAUCACCCACUUUCCCCUCUCCCCUACCCCCCAUCUGCCCUUAGUUUGUUCUCAGUCCUUAAGAGUCUCUUAUGGUUUGGCUCCCUCCCUCUCUGUAACUUUUUUCCCCCUUCCCCUCCCCCAUGGUCUUCCAUUAAGUUUCUCAAGAUCCAUGUAUUUUCAAUGUUGACUUUUCAUACCCAAGAACAAAGCAUGUUUCUCCAUUUCCCCAGAUCUUCCUUAAUGCCCCUUCAUAGAGCUUUAUAGUUGUAUUUCCUGUGGUUGCUGUAACAAAUUAUCACAACCUGGGUGGUUUAAAACAACCAGAAUUUAUUCUAUCACAGUUCUGAAGACCAUAAGUCCAAAAUUCAUAUCAGCAGGCCAAAAUUAACGUGUCAUCAGGGCUGCAGUCCUUCCAGAGGCUCCAGGAGAGAAUCUGUUCCUUAUCUCUCCCAGCUUCUAAGGCUCUGGCAGUCCUUGGUUUAUGGCUACAUCAAGCCAAUCUCUGCCUCCACAGUUACAUUGUCUUCUCUGUGUGUCAGUGUCGCAUCUCUUCCUGGCUACCUCUUAAAAGGAUACAUGUGAUCCUUGCUUUUGGUCCCACCUAGAUAAUCUAGAAUAAUUUCCCUAUAUCAAAAUCCUUAAAUUAAUCAUACUUGCCAAGUUACUCUUUCCAUAUAAGGUCACAUUUACAGGUUCCAGGCUGGGGGCCAUUAUUCAACCUACAACACUACUUUUUGCUACCACUUAGGUUUUGAAGCAGUGUAUUCCCAUGGCUGUAACUCUUCUUUAAACACCUACUAGUCUCUCUUUUAUUAAGCAAAUCAUGAAUAAUAAAUAAAAUUAAUCGAUUGAUUGAUUGAUCUCUGCUUGAUCUAGAGAUGGGAGUAAGGAGAGGGUCCUGGAGGGGUACUGUGGAGGAGAGGACAAUUAAAACUAUGCCAGAACUCACUAUAAAGAUCUGACUCUUUGAUUCCUGAAUUCACAAACCUGGAGGUCUCAUCCUCUGCCCUAGUUUUGAGACCCAAUUUCUCAAUUGCCUCUGAAAGUGAUAUACUAACUGGUAUGCAUUGAACACAAAUUCAUGUUUGCAUAUGCUGAGUGAACAGGGAAUUGUGGAGACAGAUUCCCUAACUUGUGCCCUUUACCCUGAGACAACCUCUUAAAACCGUAUUCUUUGCCAGCUUGGAAUGCAGCAGGCAGAAUAGCAAGGUGGCUGAGUUGGAGUCAAGAAAGCUGAAUUUUGACCCAGCUAUAUUCCUGCUAGCUGGAUGUGACUGAUCACUUAGCCUCUCUGGGCCUCACUUUCUUUGUCUUUGAAUGGGGAUGUCGAUAUCGUUGUUGCCUACCUCACAGGGCAGAGGCCAAGCAUGCAUGACUUUUACGCACCCGCAAGAGUACAGCUUGUGCAGAGUGAACACUGAUGGCCAUCUGAGCAUGUACUCCCAGGCGGCAAGUGGUGGACUGACCCAAAGUCUGGGCAGGCCGUGUAGGAGGAACCAGACCCCUUGGAGACAUCAAGGCAGGCCUGCAGUGAGGUACAUGUGCUCACAUACCACCCCUGUCUCUUAGCAGCCCAGACCUGGGGCCUGGUAGCUGAGAGAUUUGCUGCUCAUGUUGAGCCUUGUAAAUGAAUAAAGCAGGUAAUUUCACAUUGAUAUGACAACUACAGGAGAGAUUUUGCCCAUGGUUGCUUUGUUGCCUGGGGUUUCCUUGUAGCCAACUUUAAGGCCACAAUUUCUAUAUUCUUUCUCAUCUCUCUCUACCUCCCCAUAGAGGUGGGAGUGGUAGGUGGAAAUUAAGAAAAAUCUACAUUCCUUGGGAAGAUUAGUGAGUUUGGCUUUUUGGAAUAAAUCUUAGUCCUGAAUGAACACAUUGUUAAUGUGGUAUCUAGGGGAGAGCAGAAAGAAAAAUGGCAUACUGUGCACUAUCUUGGAUUCCAGAAAGAGAAAGCCAGUUUGUGAGUGCUAAGGCCUCCUGUUAGCUGGCCUUCUGCUCUAAGGCAUCCCUGUGGCCCCUCCUCUGCCCCUCUGGGAUAGGCCACCUGAAUCCUCAGUCCUCAAUUUCUCCAGUGUCAUGCCCUGAUGCUCCAACAACCACAUAAAAGGGCUGUCUUCCCCACCCCAAGCCCAGUGCCCCUAAUGUUCUUCUUCCUACCCUGACUCACAACUGCAUCCUUCCCCGCUCCCAUGCUGGCCUCUGCACUCACUGAGAAGCCACCACAGUGCCUUUAAUAGCACAUGGCUUCAGCAUCUGUGGAGAACAGCAGUGAGGACCAUCGGAGUGCUGGGGUGCUGAAAAGCACAGGCAUUCAGAUCCCAUUGCCCAUGGAGCAUGCAGUAUUCCAAGGAUGAUGCAAUCCAUAUCAUCCCCAGGCUAAGUUCCCAGAGGUCCCUAAGACCAGCAAAUAAGCUGCCCCAGAGCCCUGUUGGCUGCCUACCUCACCCUCACCUGCUGCCAUUCUCCAUCAUCACAUAUACCAAUCUGCUUCUGGCACACUGUCCCCAUGAGUGCCCUUUUCUGUACAGAACAGGAAGUUACUCCCUUCCCACUUGAGUGAACCUUGGGGCCGGCCAGCUUUCUCUGUGCUAUGUGAUGAUUUCUGUCACCCACUCAAGGUAAAAUUGUCCCUUGCCUGUUUCCUUCAGGUCCCCAGCCCAGAACAAGCCUCUCUAAAGCAAAGUGAAUUGGGUAGAGUCUCCUCAAGGGUCCAGGAAAGUGAACAUUUAGUGGUUGUUCCCUGACUAAUGCUGACUCAAAUCCAAGAAUCCACAGUUGGUCUAACUUCCUCAUUCCUUAAUUGGGGAAACUGAGGCACAGGGAGAUCACAUCUUUAGUCCUCAUCAGGGUUGAAUCCAAGUCUCUUGAUUUCCAGUCCUGUCCUCUCUGUACCUCACCACCCUGCUUGCCCUUUGGGCACGUGGCUGACAGGGCCAGCCUUCCUCAGCUUACCACUCUCAAAAUAACUUUGACAAGAACUCAGAUUUCACAGUCAUGUCAGUGGGGUGUUAAAUGUGGGCGUGAAGGGUGGCUGAACAGUGGCAUCUUUAACUUAUUGGGAGUCAGCCUAUAACUGCGAGGCUCAGAGCCAACAGCUGCGAGCCUGACAGGCCUGGAUCCCGUGGCAGUGGAGACAGAUUCACCUUAGGGAGCCCAGUAACAUCCGAAUGGACUCCAGUAAAAGAACAUGUUUUUUUACUUUGAUAAACAAAGGCGUUGUAGGGGGUGGCCAUGGGGAACUACCAAGCAGGUAUAAGAGUACCUCUCAAGUUUGAGCCCCUAGGGCCUUCCCAGGGUAUCUUGGAAACUUCCACCUACCAGUUGUCAAAGUGGCCGUUAAUCCUGCUGAGUACAGAACUGGGGGACUGGAGUGUUCCCUGGGGCUGAAACUGAGACAGGCCUGUAGCAAGAAUGCUUAGUGUAAACUUAUUUGCUCUUCCAAAGCCCAAGCAACCUGGGCACAGAAAGCAGCUAAGCAAAGAUGAAGGCCCCUUAAAGCGCUGGGCAGACUGUGCUGCCGUGAUCUUGUAAUCUCCUGUGAAGAAAGGAUUAUGGGUCCACCAUGCAAACAGCCAGAGGGAGGGCCAACUGCAGUGGUGGCUCUUGAGCUACACACAGUGUGAGAGCCAAGAGGUACAGUGUCGGCAUUCUUGUCAACGUCCUUGUUAUCAUUGUGGCCCUCCAAAUGACUACCUGCCAUUUAGUGCCUUCUAUGUGCCGAACAUGUGGUAAGCAUUCACUUCUACCCUGAUUCUCUCAACCACCCUGUGAAAUGGGUAUUGGAGUUAGCUAUCUUUUAUAGAUAAGGAAAGCAAGGCUCAGAGAGAUGAAGUUACUCACCAGCCUCCCAGCUGGUAAGCAAAUGGCAAUGAGGUAAAUGGGACCUGGCUCUUGUUCUCAAGAUAUCAAGAUAGAGACGGAGUAAAAGGUAAAGAACUCCCAUUUAUUGGGUAUCCACUAUGCUCCAGGAAUGGUACAUGCAUUUUUCCGUUUAAUCCUCAAAAUAGCCCCACGAAGAUGUUACUAUUAAUAUCUCCCAGUUUAGGGGUCAGGAAAAUGCAUUCUGCUAAGUUAAACAACUUGAACAAGGGAUCACAGCUAAUAAAAGGAGAACUGGGAUUCGAACCACUGAGCCAGUGGUUCUCAAACUAUUUGGUCUCUUUUUGUAUUCUUAAAACUUAUUGAGGGCCAAUCCACAGACACAGAAAGCAGAUCAGGGGUCGCCAGGGGCUGGAGGGAUAAUAGAACGGGGAGUGACUGCUCAGUGGGUAUGGAGUUUCCUUUUGGGGUGCAAAAAAAUGUUCUGGAACCAGAUAGAGGCGAUGGUUGCACAACAUUGUGAAUGUAAUAAAUACCAAUGAAUUGUAAAAUUUUAAAUGGUUACAAAAAUAAAAUGUUUAAUUUUAUGUCAUGUGAAUUUCACUUCAAUUGAAAAAGAGGUAAAUGAACAACAACAACAAAAAUUUGUUGUGGACCCCAAAGAGUUUUUGUUUACGUGGGUUAUAGAUCUCUGUGUUAGCCAUAUUAGCAACACAACUGUUAAAAUAUUUAUUUAUCUAUCUAUUUAUUUUGAAAUUAAAAUAGUAAACUUAUUUCCUGUGAAUAUAAAUAAUAUUUUAGGGGCACCUGGGUGACUCAGUCAGUUAAGCGUCUGAUUCUUCAUUUUGGCUCAGGUCAUGAUCUUACAGUUCAUGAGUUUGAGCCCCGCAUCAGGCUCCACGCUGUCAGUUUGGGAUUCUCUCUUUCCCUCUCUCUCUGCCCCUCCCCCACAUGCACACGUGCAUGGCACUCUCUCAAAACAAAUAAAUAAACUAACUAAAUAAAUAAAUAAGUAAAUAAAUAACAUUUUAAUGAAAAUAACUGUAUUUUCCAAAACAAAAACUCAUACUGAAAGCAGUUGCAUUAUUUCACAUUUUUUUCAAAUUUCUCUAAUAUCUGGCUUGAUAGAGGACAGCUAGAUUCUCACAUCUACUCAAUUCAGUAAUGAUAUAUUCUCAUGGUUGAAGUAUGUGAGGGAAAUCCAGCCUCACGCAGAUAGCAAUUGGAGAAGGAAGGAAUAUUUUAAUUGACUUUUCAUAUAAUUAUUGACACUCUUCUUUGAUAUGACACCGUUACUCGACCAGUAGUUGUUUCUUACAGGUUAAGUGCAGUGUGGAAUGUGAAAUUAUAUUAAUGAACUUCCCAUACCUGAUUCCACUGACCCCCACAGGACUCUCUUAUCCUUUGAAUGGAUCCUUUACACAGCUAUGGGUUAGUAACAUCCUACUUUAGUCACCUGGGAAAUAUAAGUGCCCUUGACUUAUGCAGAACUUCCCAUAUGUUGAUACAUUUCACUCUACAACAUCAAAAAAAUCACAUUUUGUUACCAUAACCAUCCAUCUCAUUGGAAGAAGUCUUUAAGUAUUGGGAAGCUGUCAACUUGGAUACAAGUUUUUCAAAUUUUUAAUUUUGGCUUUAAAGCUGAAAUUUUAUCAUUGGCAAAAAAUACUAUCAGUUGUUUUCCUUGAAGUGAUGGGCUCACUUUGUUCAUUUACGAGAAAAUGUCUGCCAAAUACCCAAAUCUGAAUAACAUUAGUUAGUCAUUCUUUCAAGUAAAUAUGAUGUUCUAUGAAAAAUCAGCCAAUUCAGUUCACAAUUCAAAACAAUCACACGGCUGCUUUGCCUUGAGUCAACUGUUGGGCUUUGAUUUCCAGCAGAAGUGCUUUAAGCCUAUUUCCCAUUUUGUCACACAGAAUUUUUAAAAUAUGGGUAGUCAAGGGUCAAUAUUUAAUAAAGUUAAUUAUUACUGCUUUGCUGACAACAUUCUUAAGUGAAGCUGGUUUGUUGUUUUUUUUUUUUAACUGCAAGCACUUGGCAGUGAAGAAUCCAAUGACAGCUAGUACAAUUUGGUGCCACUGCCCUGAUUCACACUCAGGCAUCUGCUGUUUUACUCACUACUGCUUUUUUUUUUAAGUAUAAUUAACAUGCAAUGUUAUUUUAGUUUCAGGUGUAUAACAUAUUGAUUCAACAAUUCUAUACAUUACUCAGUGCUCACCACAAUAAGUAUAAUCCCCAUCUGACACCAUACAAGGCUAUUUCAAUAUUAUUGACUAUAUUCCCUAUGCUGUACUUUUCAUCCCCAUGACUUACUCGUUUUAUAACUGGAAAUUUAUACCUCUUCAUCCCCUGCACCUAUUUUACCCAUCCUCCCACCCACCCAUCCUCUGGCAACCAUCAGUUUGUUCUCUGUAUUUAAGAGUUUGUUUUUUAGUUUGUUCAUUUGUUUUGUUUUUUAGAUUCCACAUGUAAAUGAAAUUAUUCGGUAUUUGUGUUUCUUUUUUUAAUUUUUAAUGUUUAUUUAUUUUUGAAAAACAGAGAGAGACACAGAAGGAGAAGGGGAAAGGCAAAGAGAGGGAGACACAGAAUCCAAAGCAGUCUCCAGGCUCUGAACUGUCAGCACAGAGCCCGAUGCGGGGCUUGAACUCACAGACUGUGAGAUCAUGACCUGAGCCAAAGUCAGACACUUAACCAACACCUAGGUGCCCCUGUGUUUCUUUAUCUGAUUUAUUUUACUUAGCUUAAUACUCUCCAGGUCCAUCCAUUUUGUCACAAAUGGCAAGAUCUCAGUAAUCCCAUUGCUGGGUAUUUACCCAAUGAAAGCAAAAACACUAAUUCAAAAAGAUAUAUGCACCCCUAUGUUUAUUGCAGCAUUAUUUACAAUAGCCAAGAUAUGGAAGCAGCCCAAGUGUCCAUCAACAGAUGAAUAGAUAAAGAAGAUAUGAUGUGUAUAUACACAAUGCAAUGUAACUCACCACUGCUUUUGCACUGUCUGUACCAAUGUCAGUCCAGUAGAAAAGUCAAAGAACAUUUCAGUGUUAUUGUGAAAAUAGUUUUGACCUUGAAGAUCCCCUAAAGGGGUCUUACAGACCUCCAGCACUCCAUGGAUCUCACUCUGAGAACAGGUGUAUGAGGCUAUGCAUACAUCUGCUCAUGCCACCUCCCUUAAUUAGGACCUUUGAUGGCUUCCUAUCACCUGUAGAAUCAGGCCUGACCUUGGCCCACACUGUUGGCCCAGGACACAGGGUUCUAGCCAAAUAAUCCCCUCACCAUUUUCCAAAUAUGUCCUUCCAUGCUCUUGCCCAUGCUUUCCCCUAUACCAGAAUGCCCUCAUCACCAUCUCUGGCUAUUGAAAUACUACUUACCCUCCAAGAUCCAGGUCAACUAUUGCCUCUUCCAGGGAGCCUUCCAAGGUUUUUAAGUGAAAACAAUCAUGUUUUCCUCUGAACUUCCUGAUCCCACUCUCAAGACAUCUUCUCUAGCACUUAGCAGGCUGGUGUUAUAUUAGAAGGUGGUGUGUCCUCAUCUGUGAGCUCCCCAAAGGCGGACACUGAGUCUUUCCUCUCCGUUUCCCCACAGGACAGCCUUGUUCAUCACUGGGGUGGUAGAUGUUUGGUGACUUGAACUCCACUGCAGGGAUUCAGCUCUAGUGCCCAGAAUGUAAAACUUGAAAAUGCCAUGUGGCUAUAGCUGUGAAUGCUCAAAUCUCAAGGAGUGUGUUCUGACUUGCAUCCCCAAGGAAUGUCACCAUCAGUAUUGACACUUGCCCAUGCUUCUUAAAAAUGAUCUUAUUGCAGGGGUAGGUACUAAUUCUGGGCUACUCUAACCCCACGAUUCUUGGCUCCUAGGGCAGGAAGAAUCCUCAAAAGGGAGAAAGCCCCCUGGGACCAGAUUCUCCUGAAGGUGCUAUGUCUCUUAUCUCCUGUUUCUCAUGUAACACAGUUCAUGGCCCUGUGCUGUACCAUAGGUCACACUGGAAGCCCAGAUGCUCCCCUCCCAGUUUUCCUCAAUGGCUUGCAAUUCAAACAGGAUCAUGCUAAUGGCUCCCAAAGAUCACCCAACACUCUGCUCCCAUGUGCCCAGCCCUACCUGGGCUGGAAGACUUUGUCUCAUUUAGAGCUCACCUUAGGACCUUGUAGAAUCACAGUUGAUGCCUGCAGAGAUGCACUUGUUUGUUUCAAAUGCCAAUUUAAUUUUGAUGCCUUUGGCCUCAAUAGUUGUUUCCUGAUUUCCAGGAAUUGCUCUCAAUUUAGCAGUUGCCAGCUCACAGCUCUAUGCACCAGCCCUUUGCCUGCCUGUUGUGCUAUAACUUCUCUCUCCUCAUUGAUCAUGUUGGCUGGCAGGGGGAUGGAGGGGAGAAAGAGAGACCUAUACAGGCUGUAUGUAGCAUGACUCAUUUGAAGGAGGCGACCUGGGCAGUGGUGACUGAGGGACUCUGAAUGAGGGCCCAGAGAACCCAGAGGGCAAGACAUGGAGACGGGCAAGGAGUAUAGUCAACUGCUCAGUAUGAAAUGGUGCCACAAUGGCGGACUCAGAUAAACAAUCAGGACCUUGGGCUGCAUCAACAGAGGCAAAGUAUUCAGAACAAGGGAGGUGAGUGUGCUGCUCUCUUCUGUAGUUUAGUGUAUAAGGCAUGGACUCUGUAAGCAGAAUGUCUGAUUUGACUUUUGACUACCACUUAUCUCCAUGCCUUUGGGCAGGUUACUUAACACCUCUGAGACUCAGAUGGUUUGUUUCAUCUUUUCAAUGAGUAUAGUAAUAGAAACUACUUUAAAGUAGCUGUCAGGAGGGUUCAUUGGGAUGCUAGAUGCCAAGUGUUUGGCAGUGUCUGGUCUGUACAGCCCCCCUCUACUGUGCUCUGGCCAGUCACCAACCAGAUAUUCUGGCUAGUUCUGGGCCCCGCACCCAGAAGGACCCUAUCAAACUAGAGCAUAUCUGAAGGAGGAAAGGCUGGGAGCAGAAGAACUCCCAUUUGUCUAGUGGGAGAGAGGGCAUCUACUGAUGUGGCUCGCAGGUUCCUUGAGGAUGGGGAUGGGUGGCAGAAGUGACUACGAUGCAGGUUCUGGUGCAAUAGAGGGAAGAAGACCCCUCAAGGAUUCAGAAUCAUGCUAGUACUGGCUGCCUUAGCAAGGAGGGAAGUUGAGACUGAGGCUCCUUUUGGCAGAGGCAUACCACGAGAGACUAGAUGGCCACAAAGAAAUGUUGCAGGAGUGGGAGAGUGUUGAAUGGCAGCCAGGCUCAGGCCUCCAGGGUGUCUGGAGUGCAACUUUGUUCUGUGCCUACCCCAGGCUGCAAACUGCAAAGGCAUUCUGCUCUGGCUUAGCUUACUUUGAGGGGUGCAGACCAUUCCUAGGGACCCACGAGUUGCACAGCAGCCAAGGGCAUCCCUGUUGGAAGUGCAGAGGAACACCACCAGUGUGUUUGCUCUCGGUGCCACAGCAGCUGGAAUCUGGUAUAUGCCACCACUGCCCCUCAGGGCCCUCAGCAGCCAUACAGAAAACAAUGCACCACCAUAGCUUCCUGGGCAGCUGUGGGCACCCGAGCUGGAAGAACCCCCUGCAUUCUUCACUCCAGCCCUCUCCUUUUCCAGUUGAGGGGCCUGGAGCCUGUGGGGAGCAAGGCCUUCCAGUGUCACACUGAGAUGUAGGAAUGGAGUCACGAACCCUAAAGUUUUGUCCUGCCUUGUGCCCAGGGACCCUGAAGGCUCAUUCCCCUUGCAAAUGUAAAUGAGAUGGGCUGGGCCCUCACCAGGCCCUGAGUGCAGCAGGCUUAUCCGGGCAAUGAGAACCUAGGGGCUGUGUGCCAAGUCCCUGCUCUGUCCCUCACUUGCCAGGAGACCUUGAGGCAGGGCAGCUUCCUCCCAUGAGGCCUCAGGUACUCCAGUUCUGAAAGGAGAAGGUGGCAGUUGGUCUUGUCAAUGGCCUCUGUGCCCUGAUGGCCAGGCUUCUAGGAAGUCAGUGACCUGUGAUCCAUUGGUGGGGAUGGAUGGAGUAGGGUAAACGUGGCUCAAAAAAGAUAUGUCCAAGCCCUAACCUCCAGAUACUGUGAAUGUGCCCUCAUUCAGAAAAAGGGUCUUUGGAUGUAAUGAAGUUAAGAAUCUCGAAAUGAGAUCAUCCUGGAUUAUCCUGGUGGAGCCCAAGUCCAAUGGCAAGUGUCCUUAUAAAAGACAGAGGAGGAAGAAGACACAGAGCAGAAGGGAGGCCAUGUGAAGUAAGAGGCAGUGAUUGGGGUGAUACAGCCACAAGCUAAGGUACACCAAGGAUGCUGGCUACCACCAGAAACCAGAAGACACAGGACCUGCCUCUAGAGCCUUCGGAGAGAGUGCAGCCGUGUCAACACCUGGAUUUUGGACUUCUGGCCUGCAGAACUAUGAGACAAUACAUUUCUGUUCUUCUGAGUCACACAGUUUGUGGGAACUUGUUGCAGCAGAGCUCCGGGAAACUCAUACAGUGCACCGUGCUACUCCUGAGACCCUGAGCCUAUGGACCAUGCAAGGGCCCAGCCCCUGCCAACUGGACCCAAGGAGCUCCUAAGUGGCUGACCAUUGCCUGGCUGGGGGGAGCCCCUUUGCCUUCCACUGAAGGCUGAGACAACAUGAUGCCCCAUCCCCUGCAAGGCCCACUCACUGACCAUGAGCUCCCAGCUUUGUAAUUAACUGCUUUGGAAGGGGAGGUGCGCAUAUGAAGCCUGUGGAUCGACAAUAAUUAGAUUAAUAAAAACAAAUUUACCCAGCACCAGAACAGGCACAGAAAGGCACAUUAGGUGUGGAGCUCUCAGAGGAUCCUCCUGCCUGAGCUGCCCCGUCCUCUUCUGCUUGACAGAGGCCUUGGGUAAUUUGUGUCUGAGGAGAGGAAAUUUGCCUAUGUUAUGAGUAGCAACCUUUGUUUUCACUCUCCCUGGCUAAUAUGAGCUGAAUAUUUGUGUCCCCACACUUUUAUACGUUGAAGCCAUACUUCCCUAUGUGAUGGUAUUUGGAGGUAAGGCCUUUGGGAGGUAAUUUGGGUUAGAUGAGGUCAUGAUGGUGGGAUCCCCAUGAUGGGAUUAAUGUCCUUGUAAGAAGAGGCCCCACAGAUUCCUCUUCGCAUGCGCAUGCACCAAGGAAAGGCCACAUGAACACACAGCAAGAAGGUGUCUAUUACAAGCCAGGAAGUAGGCCUUCACCAUGAGCCAGAUCUUCUGGCACCUUGAUCUUGGACUUCCAGUCCCCAAAACUAUGAUAAAUAAAUGUCUGUUGUUUAAGUCACUGUAGAAGCCCAAGCAGACGAAGACACUGGCCUGGUGAUUGCUGCACGGUGGCUCGCCAAGUCUGAAAAGGAGGCAUCACAAUCACUGGGUAGCCAUACAGUGUCCCCAGGAGUGGAAGGCAACCUGGCCUGGGACAAGUCCCUGCUGGGGAUGCUUGACUUCAAAUCCUUUGCCAGGCCUGGGCUGGUGAGGUGGGGUGGUUGACAAGCUUUGUCACAGACAUGGUUGUUUGUGGUCUUGUGUUCUUGAAGUGGCCCUUCUCCUCUCUGGGCCUCAGCUUUUUCCUCUUCAAAUGGGAUGAUACCCUUCUCCAGGACAGCUGUGAGGGUCAGAGUUCAAUCAUUCACACUGGGUAAACACUCAGUAAGCCAGAAAACUUUGGGCAGAGUAGUGCUCUUGACCUGGAGGGGGAGGUGCUGAGGAGGAGAAGGCAGAAGGAUGAGCCCCUCCUGGACCUUUGUGGGCAAAGUGAGUCUAGAGAGGAAAUUCCAGCAGUCCAGGGAGGUUUGAUUUGGGUACAGAGUCCCUGAUCCCAGGCCACCUCCCAGGAAGCUAACAGUGGCAGUGGCAGGUCCCAGCAAGACAAAGGAUAGGUCAGGUGUCACACCAGCUCAUUGACGAUAGCUGGCAGUAUCCAGUGCUCACAGCUCCUGCUAAUUCCUGCUUCGCUUCACCAUGGCUCCAGCCCAAGUUGUAGCAGUAGUAGAGAGAUGCUAUCCUGCCCCCACUGGUGUCCUCUUUGCCUGAGAUCAGCUGCCCAGCAUGUGGCAGGAAGUAUCCAGAAGAUGGGACCAGGCCUUGGCUAUGAGAGCCACACAAACAAGCAUAGUGUCCACAGGCCACUGCAGAGGGGAAGAAAGGGUAGAGGAGUCAAGCCACAGGUAGCAGGUGGCAAGCCAGAGCUGCCAAAGAGCCAGGGCUCCUGGACUGUCUUUGUACCAGCUUGGUUUUGAAAACAACACCUCUGAUCCCUAUUGGUUCAGUCACACUGGUGCCUAGGAUUCCACUUUGAGGCCUACCCAUAACAAAAACCACUGACAUUUGGUGGUAUAUCCAGGGUGGUCAGGGAAGAGAAAACCACAAAAGAUUUUCUUGAUCUUCAGAGUGGGCUUUUACCACCUCUUCUCAUACUCUUUUAAAAUUCUGAUUACAUCAUUCACAGUUCUUCAAUUGCUCUUUAUUCCUGAGCCUUCAGGGCCUCCUGCAGAGGCAGAGAUAGCAGAAGGGUACAUGGAAGGAAGUUACUCAUUGUGCUACAGGAACAAUAUCCAGCACAAUGUCACCUUGAGUGAGGCCCAGGUAAAAAUCAUUUUCGACUAAGUUUACCAGUUUAUUUUUUGUUGUCCAGACACAUUCUGGGAGGUGCCUUCAUUUACCCAGAGGUGGAGGGAGAAGGAGGCCAAAGCCAUCCUUCUGAACUCUCAGGUCAGCUGCCCUUGACCUUUUGGGGUGCUCAAGACUCAUAUGUGCCAGUCCCCAGGAGAGCUGACAGGCCACCUAGUAAAGGAACAGUGUCAAUCUUCCAGGGCACACCAAUCCCGGGGGCAGGAAGUCAUCUCGUAAAGCUGCUGGGCUUCUCACCUUCAAUUGGGCCUGUCCAUGGAGUGGGGCUGCCUUUUAGUACAGGGCCACUCUUCUCAGACAACUCAGUAUGGAGUGGGGCCUGAGUGAGAACUCUGGGCUUCUAGCUGCCACUUCCCCUAGAGGACAAGGCCACAUUUUUUUCUGCCUUAUAUGUGAUUGCUCUUGUCUCAAUCCUCCAAAAAUCAUUGUCCUAUAACAAGACCCUGGUGUUCAGAGGAAGCUCUGAAAGGAGCUGUUAUCUGCUGCUUUUAGACUUUUCUGAGUCAUGAGCAGUAACAAGAUUCCCUACACCAGCCCAGAGGCACAUCGAGCUAGGCAGGACACCAAGGAAAUGGAUUCCACCCAAAAGCAUGGGGGAGUACUGUCUACAUAUGUUGGAGCAGGCCAGAGCAUGAAAACUCUGGGUCAAGGUCCAAGGUUCAGGCAGGAGUGAGGAGUGAGUGAGGGGAGCUCUCUGCUGCUCCCUACCUUCCACGGAAGCCAGAGAAGCCCUACUUGGACAGCUUUAAAAGUUGAUCUACUAUGUAAGGUUCCCUUUGGGACAGAGCAAUAUGCUACUGUAAAACACUUACAAACCAUGCUGUUGAGAAUAGGGGCACUUUGGCCCAGGGAGAGGAAGGACUUUACCCAGCUGCUGGGUGGGCUGAGGUAGAACCCAGCCCUCCUCACUGGCCAGUGGCCUCUGUAGAACACGCACAUGUGGUCUGCACUAGCCAUGUGGGAAACAGGCUUGAGUCCAUGUGGGGUAGGGAGGGCUCAGGUGUAGACUGGGACCAUUAUAUGCAGGCACGGGUUCCCCGAGAGUGUUCACAUUUCCCAUGCAUGGUGGUGGCUGCCACAUGCCUGCCCGGCCAACACACUUCACUCACUCAUCUGCUGUGAGAGAUGAGAGGUGAGAGAAAGAGACAGAGACAGAGAGACAGACGGAGAUUUAUUUUAAGGAGUUGACUUACAUGAUGAUGGGGACUGGCAGGUCCAAAAUCAGCAGGGCAGGCCCAUACGCUUGAGUUGAAGGCUAGAAUCUCAGGCAGGAUUUCUAUGCUGCAGUCUGGGCUCAGAAUCUCUUCUUUCAGGAACUUCGAUCUUUGCUCUUAAGGCUGUCAACUAAUUAGAUGAGGCCCAUUCACAUAUGGAGGGUCAUUUGCUUUACUCAAAGUCUACUUAUUUAAAUGUUAAUCACACCUGAAAAAUACCUUCACAGCAGCAUCUAGACUGGUGUUUGACCAAACAACUGGCCACCAUGGCCUAGCCAAUUUGACACAUAACAUUAACCAUCACAUUCACAGCCCCUCUUCAGCAGCCCAAGGAAGCAGCUGUUGGCUUUGGGCCCAGCAGGUUAAAGGCCAGACCUGGAAGAGGAGACAAGAGGGUGGCAGAGCAGGGAAGGGUAAGGAGUGGAAGGUCAGCUGGUGGAGGGCACAGCCCGGGGGACUGUGAGGCUCAGCAAGAGGGUGUCCCCUACAGGAAUAGAGGAAGAGCAGGUGCCCCUGUGUCCUGGAGAUAGGGCCUAUUGGAAGUUACUCCUGCAGAAGUUCUUAGUGGUGAGCCAUGGGGGAAGGGCCCCAAGCCUGGAUUUCGGAGCUGGAACCAAGAUUUCUCCUGGAGCCAGGACAAGCAUGGAGGAUCCCGACAGAUGACUUGGUUCACAUGUAGUUUGGAGGCAUCCACAGAAUGGGGGGUGGUGUUCAUGGGGCCUGCAGGCAAGGGCCUGGAACUGCUGGUGGCCCUGAGCAUGGGUCACAAAUCAGAGACCAAGACGGACAGAAUAUGCUGCUGAGUGGUGGCCUACCUGUGAGGGGAGGGGAGGUGGCCUUGACUGGAUUCUGGCAGCUGUUCCCCCACCUCUCCACCUCCCACAGCUGCCCUUGGCCUAACAUUCUGGCCUCUUCUCAGAGAUCAGUGAUCCAUGAGGUGAGCUAGGUGGGAGCAAUGUGUCUGUUGGAGGCCCAGGGUUUGGCCUAAUUCUGCCUUCCUCUCUGGGGAUACAUGUCUUUGCAUUUGCUGCCCCCUUCUCACCCAACCCAUAAUGGCCACACCCUUGGGUUUAAACCCACAACUUGACCUUCCAUAAAGACGAGAGAGCAGUGUCUAGCAGCUUCAAGGCUCCUGAGAGCAGGCCAAGGCCAGAUAGGGGCAGUUUACUCAUCAGAGGGAACUGAGAUUUGUGCAGAUCCCCCUCCCACCCCCUGUCCACUAUCAGUUUUGUCACUUCCCCUGGGGGUCCCCUUCUUCUGGCUUUCCCCUUGUCUUCUGUCCCAAAUGAUGAAGCUUUCUUUGGUGUUCUCCGGUGUUCUGGGUGUCCCUUUGGUGCCAGCUGACAAUGGCUCUCUGAAAGCUGCUUCUCCUCCCACUGCUCUGGCAGCCUUGCCUAUGUAUUCUCUCCAGCCCUUCCUCGAGACCCAUCUUGGUGGAGUUCUUUGCCCCAGUGGCAUGGUUGGAACUCAGCACUUCAGCUUUGGCCACCAAGUCAGCAGGUCUGGUGGAGUUUCUCANCAUGUCUUUGCAUUUGCUGCCCCCUUCUCACCCAACCCAUAAUGGCCACACCCUUGGGUUUAAACCCACAACUUGACCUUCCAUAAAGACGAGAGAGCAGUGUCUAGCAGCUUCAAGGCUCCUGAGAGCAGGCCAAGGCCAGAUAGGGGCAGUUUACUCAUCAGAGGGAACUGAGAUUUGUGCAGAUCCCCCUCCCACCCCCUGUCCACUAUCAGUUUUGUCACUUCCCCUGGGGGUCCCCUUCUUCUGGCUUUCCCCUUGUCUUCUGUCCCAAAUGAUGAAGCUUUCUUUGGUGUUCUCCGGUGUUCUGGGUGUCCCUUUGGUGCCAGCUGACAAUGGCUCUCUGAAAGCUGCUUCUCCUCCCACUGCUCUGGCAGCCUUGCCUAUGUAUUCUCUCCAGCCCUUCCUCGAGACCCAUCUUGGUGGAGUUCUUUGCCCCAGUGGCAUGGUUGGAACUCAGCACUUCAGCUUUGGCCACCAAGUCAGCAGGUCUGGUGGAGUUUCUCAUCUGCCAUGAAGAACGAGAGAGUGCCCAGGCUUUCUGUACAACCUCUUAUUUAGGGUCAUUCAAAUCCCAAGGCAGAUACUAAUUGUACUCUCAUUUCAUGGAGGAGCAGACUGAGCCUUAGAGAGGAUGGGUGGCCUGCUCAAGGCAAUGGAAGGGGUAGAGACAGUCUGGGAAUCCAGAGCCCUGCCACCCCUAACCACCUUGGGGUUGUGCUAGCUCCUCCUCCGGCCACACAGCCUAGCAAAGGCCCCUUCCCUGCUCUAAACAGAGAGCCAACAGGUCAGGGAGGAGGCUGGCUAGAAGCCUCAGCUCAGGCCUGAAGUCAUUAGGACUGUCCCAAAUGGGGAGGGGAUGUCUUUCAGUGCAUACUGCUCGAUGAGGGGCCAUCUAAGGAGAGACUCAGAGUUCAGUGCAGGGAGGGCUUCUAUCCCCAGAUCCUCCCCAGUGCUGCAGUCUUGAGCUCCCAAAGCUCUGGGUUUUUUAAUAGAUGCUUAUUUUUUAAUUUUUAAUCUUAAUUUUAAUUUUUUUUAUUUUGUAUUUUAAUUUUAUUUUAUUUUAAUUUUUAAUUUUAAUUUUUAUUGUUGAAGCGUAGUUAAUGUACAUGCUAUUUUAGUUUCAAGUGUACAACAUAGUGAUUCCACAAUUCUGUACAUUGCUGAGGGCUUGCCACUUUUAGUCUCCAUCCGUCACCAUGCAGUUAUUAUUACUCUAACAUUGACUAUAUUCCCUAUGCUGUACUUUUCAUCUCCCUGACUUAUUUAUUUUAUAACUGGAAGUUUGUACCUCGUCAUCCCCUUCACCUAUUUUGCCCAUCCCCACACUCCCUUUCCAUCUGGCAACCACCAGUUUGUUCUUUAUAUUUAUGAGUCUUUUUCUGGAUUUUUGUUUGUUGAUUUGUUUUAUCCACAUGUAAGUGAAAUCAUAUGAUAUUUAUCCUUCUCUGUCUGACUUAUUUCACUUAGCAUUAUACCUUCUAGUUCUGUCCAUGUUGUUGCCAAUGGCAAGAUCUCAUUUUUCUUUAUGGCUAAGUAAUAUUUCAUUAUAUGUAAAUACCAUAUCUUCUUUAUCCAUUCAUCUAUGGAUGGACACUUAGGUUGCCACCACAUCUUGGCCAUCGUAAAUAAUGCUGCAAUAAAUGUAGGGGUGUAUAAAUCAUUUUGAAUUGGUGUUUUUAUUUUCUUUGUGCAAAUACAUAGUAGUACAAUUGCUGGGUUAUAAGGUAGUUCUGUUUUUUAUUUUUUGCAGAACCUCCAUACUGUUUUCCACAGUGGCUGCACCAGUUUGCAUUCCCACCAGCAGUACACAAGGGUUCCUUUUGCUCCACAUCCUUGCCAACACUUGUUAGUUUUUGUCUUUUUGAUACUAGCCAUUCUUGACUAAUGUGAAGUGAUAUUUUGUGGUUUUGACUUGCAUUUCCCUCAUGAUUAGUGAUGUUGAGCAUCUUUUCAUGUGUCUGUUGGCCAUCAUGUCUUCUUUGGGAAAAUGUCUGUUCCCGUUCUCUGCUCAUUUUUAAUCAGAUUAUUUGUUUUUUUGUGUGCUGAGUUGUAUAAGUUCUUUUAUACAUUUUGGAUAUUAACCCCUUACUGGAUAUAUCACUUGAAAAUAUCUUCUCCCAUUCAGUAAAUUGCAUUUUCAUUUUCUUGAUGGUUUCCUUCACUGUGCAAAAGCUUUUUAUUUUGAUACAGUCCCAGUAGUUCAUUUUUGCUUUUGUUUCUCUUGCCUUAGGAGACAUAUCCAGAAAAAUGUUGCUAAGGCCAGCAUCCAAGAAAUUACUACUUAUGAGUUCUUUGAGGGUUUUUAUGGUUUCAGGUCUCAUAUUUAUGUCUUUAAUCCAUUUUGAGUUUAUUUUUGCAUAUGGUGUUAGAAAGUACUCCAGUUUCAUUCUUUUGCAUGUAGCUGUCCCGUUUUCCCAGCACCAUUUAUUGAAGAGACUUUUACCAGUAGCCCAUGCUCCUGGGCCUGUCAUGGCUCCCCAGGGACAACAGGAUCUAUAUCAGGCUUCUUAGGUGCCCUGCCACUAUCCCCCACAGCCCCUGUCAGCCUGUCACCCUGAUACUCUAGGUCCUCCAGGAUAUGGACAUGACCACUCCUCUGACGUCAUAAUCUAGAACCUUCCUUUUCCCUCCACAGUGCUUCUCCUGCACUUCCUGCCUUUGACUCCUGCAAUAGAGGGCUAUAAGCUGUCACCUCCUCCUCAGUAUACUUCCCAGCAGUACCUGCUCCCACUUCCAGCUUUCCUGAAGUGCCCAUCAGGAGGGGUUUUUCCAUUUACCCCUGCCUGCCCAACACCCUUGGAUUGCACCUCAGUAUUCUAGCCCUUGUCACAGAGUGUUUGUGGCUUAGUGUUGCAGGUGGCAGAAUCUGUCCACCCUAGAAGACUAGAAUCUACUAUAGGCCAGCAGUCAACCAGCCUGGGGCUUGGCCCAGAGUUGGUGCUCAGGGAGCAGUAAGGGAGCUGGCCCUUCCUUCAAGGAGCUUCUUGGAACUCAUCCAGCAAAGACUGUGAUGGAAAGACAUUCUAGAAUCCUAGAACAGAAGUCUGGGACAGUGGGCAGGGCCCUCAAGCAGCUUGUGCAGAGUAUCCAAGCCAGGUUGAGCAUCAGGGACACAGGAGCUGCUGAUUAAAAUGCAGAUUUCCUGGGCCUUAUGCCAGAGCCACUAAAUCAGAAUCUCCGGGUGGAGGGAGAGGGGGAGAGCCAGCUGCAUUCUGAAAAGAGCUCUACAGGUGGUUCCGAUGUGUGCUGCAGAUUGGGGAGGCCAAGGCCCCAGGUCCUGCAGCGAGUCAUUGCAGACUGGGCCUGGAACUCUGGCUCUUGCCUCCCACUGUGGGGCCCUCUCCCCUAUGUCAUCAGGCCUAGUUGGCUGCCAAGGCUGAGGAGCUACGUCCAUGAGUCACUUGCUGACAACAGACAUGUGCCUCAAGGGCAUGAGUCAUAACAGACCACAGCUGAUGAUGGGCAAAUCCAGAGAUGUCAAUGGGAGAUGUUUGGGGAUGCCUCGUCUGUGCUGCCAGCCUAGGACUGGGUGCUGAGGGCAAAAACAGUCUAAGAUAGAAAUGUCUGUGCUCCUGGAGCAGCAGUGCCCAUCUUUGGCAGGAAAUCUGCACAUCCUUCAAUCCUUCAGUCCAGCCUUCUGUCCACUGCUUUGGACCCAUAGUGUUUGUCUAGUGCUCAGCUAGGAGCUGGAGCCAUGGCAGUGAACGUACCAUCAGGAAACCACAAGGAGCAGGAAGACCAUCCCUCAGAUGAGGUGUAGUGAGGGGCAGUGCAUGGUGACACUCUGUGCAUGUAGACAGGGGUCAGCCUAGUCUGGUGGGCGGGGCAGACAGAGGAUAAGGAGGCACCCUGCAGGGAUGGGGAACCAGAGGAAGAGGGCAGUUGAAGGCAGAGGAGAUUGUGUGUGUAUAGGCUCUGAGGCACAUGAGGAAGAGGGAGGCCUAUGGGGCUGGCGCCCAGACUGGAAAUGGAUGACCGGAGGGAAAUGUGGUAGGGCAUGGGGAAGCUGUAAGAGGGCAGGGGCAGGGCCUUUGAGGCUCUGGUUUGGGUGUUUUAUUCUAUCUUAAGAACAAUGAAAAGGGCAACAAACAUAUGAAAAGAUGCUCAACAUCACUUGCAAUUGGACAACUACAAAUCAAAAUCAAAAUGAGAUAUCACCUUACACCACUAAGAUUUUUAAAAAAACAAACAAACAAAACGCCAGAAAAUAACAAGUGUUGGUGAGGAUGUGGAGAAAUUGGAACCCCUGUGUAUUGCUUGUGGGAAUGUAAAAUGGUGCAACCUCUGCGGAAAACAUUUUGGUCAUUCUUCAAAAGGUUAAACAGACAGUUACCACAUGACCCAGCAUUUCCACUCCUGGGUACAUACAUACCCAAGAGAAUUGGUGUUCAGAGAACGAAUGUCUAUAGCAUCAUUAUUCAUAAUAGCUGAAAGUGGAAACAACCCAAAUGUUCGUCAACUGGUGAGUGGAUGAAUAAAAUGUAAAAUGCGGUCCGUCCAUAAUGGACUAUUAUUCAGCCAUAAAAGAGAAUGAAGUGCAGAUCUACGCUACAACGUGGACGAACUCUGAAAACAUUGUGCUAAGUGGAAGAAGCCAGUCACAAAAGACCACAUGCUAUGUGAUUCCAUUCAUGUGUAGUGUCCACAAUAGGCCAAUCCAUAGAGACAGAAAGCUGAUCAGUGGGUGCCAGUGGCUGGGGGGAGGGGAAGAAUGGAAUGACUGGUUAAUGACCUGGGUUUUUUGGGGGGUAGGGUGAUGAAAAUGUUCUGGAAUUGGAUUGUAGUGUAACUUCAUUAAUAUAAUUCAUGCCACUGAAUCAUACACUUUAAAAUGGUAAUUGACAGAUUUCAUCACACACACCCAUAUUAAGUACAGUUUUUAAAAGCAGGGGCAGAAUGAUGGGAGGGCCAGUUGAGGGUCCAAAGCAGCAGAUGGGCUAGACUGUAGGACUGGCAGGAAGCCUGCCAGUCCUGAGCACUUGGGUAUCUGUGCCUCUCUGCCUUCCAGCACAUCUGAAGGCUGCUCAGCUUCAAUGAGACAGUAUGUGGAGGCCCCGGUACACAGUAGGUGUGCAGCCAGUGCCAUGCAGGGAAAAGGGAGCUCCGAGGGAAUGAAGUAACCUGCUCACGGACAUCCAGUUAAGUGAGCAAGUCAGGACUGUCUGGAGUCACACUACCCGGCUCCUUAUCUCAAUUUCGCCCCUUGGAACUGCUGUGUCCUUGUACAUAACAUGCAGCUGAUAACAGCAGUCCUGUCUUGCUUCGAGUCCCACUGCACCACUGGGCCCACCGGCCCUGGCUCACUCCCUUUGGGAAGACUUCCCCACAUGGGUCAUCAUAAUUCAGUUCAAGAGCAGGAAACAUAUAAAAUACGUUCUUAUUUGAUGGUCUCUGUUGUUGGUCUGGGGAGCCACUGAGAGAGGAAAACCAGAGGCAAGUGCCGGCUCUUUUCCUGAAAGCAUUAAUGAAAAUGUUAACUUUUGCAUUGGGUUCUGUGCUGUUCCAAGUUUAUUAAACCAUCAGAAAAAGUGGCUCCCAAGGGCAAAUCUUGAGAACAUGGGGAAACCCUGAGGGUCUCUUUCCCAGUCUCUUUCCCCAACUGGUCCCUUUCCCUUUAUGCCCUUCACUGUCUGACCCUCCCCCACCCCUCACCAGCCUGGUGCCCCAAACUUCCAGUCCCUAAAAUGGGGGUCAUGUGAUGCUUAGCCUCAUGUGUGGCUUAUAAUAAGUGCUUGAGGGGCACCUUGGUGGCUCAGUCUGUCCAACUCUUGAUUUCAGCUCAGGUCAUGAUCUCACAGUUGUGACAUCAAGUUCCAUGUCAGGGUCUGCACAGAGCAUGGAGCCUGCUUGGGAUUCUUUCUCCCUCCCUCUCUCUGUGCCCCUCCCCUGCUCGUGCAUGCACUCUCUCCCUCUCUCUUUCAAAAUAAAUAUAUAAACUUAAAAAAAAUAAGUGCUUGGGGCUCCUGGAUGGGUCAGUCGUUUAAGCAUCCAACUUCAGCUCAGGUCAUGAUCUCACGGUUGGUGAGUUCAAGUCCUGCAUCAAGUCUCUGCACUGUGGUGCAGAACCUGCUUGGAUUCUCUCUUCAUCUCUCUUUCCCCGUCCCCACUUGUGCUCUCUCUCUCUCUCUCAAAGUAAAUAAAUAAACUUUAAAACAAUAAGUGCUUGAUAGAGUCAGUGACAAUUACAAUGACUUUAAAUAAUUUUUAAAAAAGCACUGCUCAUUUUUCUUAGGGACCUUGCUUUUUCCCAUGUAAUUGAUGAUCUAAAUUGUAAGACUGUCUUUUUCCACAGGACUCAAUAGACUUUUUUAAUGACAAAGAUGAAAAGCAGCUGUCCACCCUAUUCUUUGUGCUGACUCAGCUCUUCCUGGGGAGAAGGCUACUCCUCCAUGGCCUGGACAUUCUCCAAGCCCCUCCUAGGACUGGCAGGGGUCUCAGGGCCUACGUCUCCAUUAGGAGCAAUAGGUACUAGGGCCAUGAUACUUUCUGGGGCUCAUGAAAAUAUUUUAAUUUCUUUUCAAAUCAGAAGGGAAACAAUGAACUUUUAGGAGGAAGAAAAUAUUUUAAUAUGUACUAUUAAUGUGAAUUAAUAUACAUUAAUAUGAACUAACAUACUCAUCUUUUUAAAUAUUUAUUUAUUUAUGUUUAUUUAUUAUUUAUUUAUUUAUGUUUAUUUAUUUUUGAGAGAGAGAGAACACGUGUGAGGGAGGGGCAGAGAGAGAGAGAGAGAGAGAGAGAGACAGAGGAUCCAAAGCAGGCUCUGCACUGAGAGCACAAAGCCCAAUGUGGGGCUUGAACACAUGAACCAUGAGAUCAUGACCUGAGCCAAAGUCAGACGCUCAACCGAGUGAGCCACCCAGGCACCCCUGCUUAUUCAUUUAUUUUGAUAGAAAGAGGGAGGGGCAGAGAGAGAGGGAGAGAAGGAAUCCUAAGCAGGCUCUGUGCUGUCAGCGCAGAGCUGAACACCAGCUCGAACUCAUGAACCAUGAGAUUGUGACCUGACCCAAAAUCAAGAGUUGGAUGCUCAACCCACUGGGCCAGCCAGGCACCCCAACAUAAUCAUCUUUAUACCAACACAGUCGUAAACUAUAAUUGUUAUUUAUUCUGCUACUGAGGAAGAGGCCCACAAGGUGGAAGUGUCCAUGGCCAGAGGGGUCAGUGCAGCCCUGAGCCCCCUGCAGGAGGGCACUUUCCCUCUGGUCAUCUCAUUUCUGAUUCUGAUCACUACCACCAACCCCACAGGUAGACAGGAUGGCGGGUAUUUCCCUGCUUUCCACACAAAGAGGCUGAGGUUUGGAAAUAAGAGGUGACUUGUUUGAUGUCACCCAGUCCUGAACUUUCUGAUGUCCCUUAUUGCCAUUUCGGGUCCCCUUUCUGCCAGGGAGAUAUCAGGUGGAGGAGCCCCUACUGCUGAGAGGAGAGCCCCUCACCCUGCCCCCAAGCCUCAUCUGCCAUCUUCUACAGCUGCCUCCAGGCCACCAGGAAGAGAGCUACACUGUCGGAACAGUGCAGGUAAAUGUUAACCAUUAAUUCUGGUCAGAAACAUCAUUGCCAAAACCUCCAUAAAGCUGUGAGGCUAUAGUUGAUCAGUGUCCUGGGAGUGAGCACAGAGUAAUCACUCAGCUUAUCCAGGUUCUUCAGAGAAGCAGAGCCAAGAGAUGAGAUAGACAGACAUAGAUAGAUGGAUAGGUGGAUGGGUGGUGAGUGGUUGCAUGGAUGGGUGGAUGGAUGGAUGGAUGGAUGGAUGGAUUUUAAGGAACUGGUUCACAAAAUUGUGGGUACUGGCAAGUCCCAAAUCUAGAGGGCAGGCCACAAGGCUAGAGACUCCGUCAAGGGUUGAUGAUGUAGUCUGGAGGCAGAAUUCUUUGGGAAGCCUCCUCAGAAGGCCUUCCACUGAUUGGAUGAUACCCACCCACAUUAUCAAGGGUUAGUAGUCUUCUUUACUUAAAGUCAACCAGUUGUACAUAUUCCCCACAACUACAUACCAAAACUCAGAUUAGCGUUUGACUAAAUAACUGGGGAUCAUGGUCUGGCCAAGGUAACACAUAAACUGACCAUCACGGACGGCACCCAUGCCACAUUGGUAGAGGUCAAACCUUGCUGGCUUAUUUAAGUACUUGAAUUCUCUGUAAUUUUCCUCCUGCCUCCCCAAUCAGGAAGGCCCAAGUCACGUUCUCAGCUAGAAGGACCUUGAACUCCCCAGUCCAGUGGCUGGCCUUUUACCUAGGUCAAAGUGAUGCUCUGUCCCCAGAGUUCCUUAGCCCAGCUCAUGGCCUCUUGCUGCCAGUGCCUACUUUGUCACAGCAGUUGUAAGCAAUGGCCAAAAGUGAGUACUGUCAAUGCCUUCCCUGGGGAGUCCUGGUUUCCUGGGCUAUGUAGUCCCAGGCACAGCGGCAGAUAGGACCAGCCACAGGGCCCAAUCCUUAGGGUCUUGGGCUCUUCCCUCUGCAGGGGUGGGGUGCAGGGAAUGAAUGUCUUUGCCUUUCCAACAGAAGGGAAAACACAGCCCCCUCUAGGCAUCCACACUCAGAGGAAGCCACAUGGAGGUAGGCUACCAGCACAGGCCUCUAAAAUCUCCAUGGUGUCCUGGAGCUUGGGAGCUGGCUGAAUGCACUAGAAGCAUCUAGAGUUAGUUGUUCAAAUUGCAACUUGUGAACCACAUGUGGUUGUCCUAAAAUCAAGUUUGCGAGUCUCAAGCAGCAUAUUUGGAAACAUGAAACAGAAUAAAAAGAAAAAAAUAAUAUUCAAGUACAUUGUCUUAGUCCAUUUGAGCUGUUAUAACAAAAAUACUAUACCCUGGGGGGGAGGGGGGCUUAAACAACAAACAUUUAUGUCUCACAGUUCUGGAAGCUGGGAAGUUUAAGAUCAAGGCACUGACAGAUUUGCUGUCUGCUAAGGUUCACAGAUGGCCGUUUUCUCACUGUGUCCUCACAAAGCAGAAAGGUCGAGGCCACUCUCUGGGUCUCUUUUAUGAGGGUACAAAUCCCAUUCAUGAGGGCUUCACCUCAUGACCUCAUCACCUCCCAAAGGCCAGGUUAGGAUUUCAACAUAUGAAUUCUGGGAGGGCACAUUCAGUCUAUAGCAUUCUGCCCAUGGCUCCCCAAAUUCAUGUCCUUCUUAUAUGCAAAAUACAUUCUUUCCACGCAACAGCCCCAAAGGUUUUAACUGGUUCUGGCAUCAGCUCUAAAGUCUAAGGCCAAAGGCUCAUCUACACCUCAUCUAGAUCACCUAUGAGCAAGACCCAAGGUCUGGUUCAUCCUGAAGCCGAUUCCUCUCCAGCUGCAAACCUGCAAAAGCAAACAAGUCAUAGUAGUGGGACAGGCAUAGGAUAGACAGUCCCCUUCCAAAAGGGAGAAAUGGGAAAGAAGGAAGGGGUAAAUGGGCCCCGCGUAAAUCUCAACCCAAGAGGGCAAACAUUAAACCUUAAGGCUCUAGAAUAAUCCCCUUUGGCUUGAUGCUCUUUUAGGCCCACUGGGCUGGCAACAGUACCCUCUGGCUCCUUGAGAUGGCCCACAGCAGCUCUCUGCCUGGACCCUGUCCCCAAGGUAGCUCUCCGCUGGUGCUCUCAGGCUCUCCAGGGCUGGAUCCCCAAGCCAUGGAUCCUCAUGGCCUCCCUGUCCUUUGAAACCCAGGUAGAGACAGCCAUUGCCUGGCGUGUGCACCGUGAACCUGUGGGAAGAACACUGCAUGUUUGCAGAUGAACAGCAUUAUGGUUCAGUCCUGAAGGGUCUAAGAAGUCCAACAUUCUUCCUUCACUUUGACCUCCCUUUCUCUGUCUCCUUUAGUCCCAGCUGGCUGUGUUUCUGCUGGUGACACCCCAUCUCUAUGCCUACCUAGCCUUUGUUGAUUAUGGUCUGUAGGUUACAUCCCUGCUAAUCUCCAUAUCAGAGGGUUGCUUAGCCACACUCUUAGGGUUCUCAUUUUUUCCAAUUUGGGUGGGCUGAGAAUUUGCCUAGUCUUUGAGUUCUGCUUCAUUUUUGCUGAACAAUUCCAUCUUUGUGUCCCUUCUCCCUUCUCACAUUCCUCUAUAAGCCAUCAGGAGGAGCCAAGCCUCACCUUCAACACUUUGCUAGAAAUCUCCUCAGUAAAUAUCCUAUUUCAUUACUUACAAGUUCGACCUUAUACAAAACACUAGAACAUGAAUACAAUUCAGCCAAGUUCUUUGCCACUUUAUAACAAGGAUCAGCUUCCAUUAUAUUUAAGGUGCAUAACUUGAUGUUUUGAUACAUAUAUACACUGUAAAAUGAUCAGCAAUACUGUACUGUAAUACUUGAAUGCAAUUGCCAAUAACAUGUCCUCAUUUUCAUGUGAGAUCUCAUCAGAAUGGCCUUUUGCAUCCAGAAAUCUGAGGCCUUCUCUCCAGCGCCCAUCUUUCCCACUCACGACAAUGGAGGCUCCAACCUCCACCCAUUAUCUGUUCCCAAGCUGCUCCCAUAUGUUUAGAGCUUUGUUACAGCAGCGCCCCACUUCUCACUACCAAUUUCAUAGUCCAUUCAUGCUGCUGUGACAGAAUACCAUAGACAGAGCAGCUUAAACAACAAUUUCCUCCUCCUAGUUCUAGAGGCUGGGAAGUCCAAGAUCAAGGCACCAACAGAUUUGGUGUCUGGUGAGAGCCCACUUCCUGAUUCAUAGACAGCUAUCUUUUUGCUGUGUCCUCACAGGAAGGAAGAGGCAAGGGAGGUUUCAGGGGUCCCUAUUAUAAGGACACCAAUCCCAUUCCUGAGGGCUCCACCCUCAUGAAUUCAUCGCUUCCCAAAGGCCCCCACCUCUUAAUACCAUCACUUUGGGAGUUAGAUUUCAACAUAUGAAUUUUAGAAGCACACAUUCAGUCUAUAGCAGCAUCUUAAGUAGUAAUGCUAAGUAUCGGUUCGUGAAACUUUUGUUACGCUUUAUAGUGAUUUGUAUGUAUACUUGUAUUGGGUCUUGAUGCAAAACAUAUUUCUUACUAUCAAAAUGUUUGAGGGAUGCCUGGCUGGGUCAGUUGGUAGAGCAUGUGACUCUUGAUCUCCAGGUCAUGAGUUUGAGCCCCAUGUUGGGUGUAGAGCUUAUCAAAAGUUUUUUUAAGAUAAAAAAUUAAAAAAUAAAGUAAAAAGUGUUUGAAAGUCACCAAUGUAUCCAAACAAGCCAUUGUGCAUGUGGGAAAAUUGAGGCCUAAAAUUAGGGACAGGACACAUGUUAAGAUCUUAUAAUGAUAAAGAACAGAGAAGGAUUAGAAUUCAACAUGUGAUCUCCUGACCUGAACCCACACACUCCAAGCUGGCUGCUGGGCUGUGGCAAUUGCCACCCAAGACUCCAUUCACACGACCAUGUAAGCUCAAGAUCCUCUAAACAAUCCCAAGCACACCUUAGAAGAACAAAAGCUAUUUUUACUGAGAGUUGGGCUUUGUAAAGUACAUUCAAGUAUAUAGUACAGUAUUGGUGAUCAUUUUAUAGCAUAUACAUGUAGGAAAACAUCAAGUUAGGCACCUUAAAUAUAUAAACAAGUAUUUGUCAAUUAAACCUCCAUAAAGCUGAAGAAGAAAGUCACAAAAAAAAAAAACUGCAUGCACCUUUGGGUUGCGGUGACAAAUACAAAGUAAUUUUAUUCCUUAGGGGAUGCUGUGUUUUUGUAUAUUUCUGCCUGCCCACCAUCCACUCUUGUGACCUCUAAACACUCUUUCUUUUGGGGUGUCUAUGCACCAGUCAGGGUUCAGUUGAAGCAGCAUGGUCAAGAUGCUAUACAAUGACAGGGUUUUCAUAGGAUGGGACCCGCUGCCCUGGGCAGGGCGGGGGUGGAGGGGGCGCUGGUAGAGGGCUCUAAGCAGCAGGUGUUCAGCUUUAAAUCACCCAGACCGACAGGAGGGAAAAUGGGCAUGAGCAAGAACAAAGACAAGCUGGUAGUCCCAUCUGUCCCUGACCACCUCCAACCUGGAUACCAUGGGUGACCUGUAAGGGAAGCUGGCAUCCCUCACCAAGAGCUGCAGUCACACUUGGCCCUGCUGAAGGAGGAAAGCUGGCCGGGGCUGAGGCAGCUGCGGGGCUAGUACCCACCCCAUGUCAACAAGAGUAGCCACCAGAUCAAGGACACUGUGCACAAGCUGCCACAGCACUGGCUUCUGCUUCACUUACAUUUUCCAAAAGUCACUUGAUUCUCAUGUGGCCCCCACUGGCCAACAGUUGUACCAAAAGGGGUUCUGGGCACCGAGGUGUUGGUUUCACUCGACUGGCACAAAGCAAAGCCACUGUUUAUAACCAAUUAGUGCAAGAAACAGCAGGAGUUAAAAAUCUAGAAAACUCCAUCAUCCUGAGCAGGCUGUGUAUUCACUUCCUCCUCACUGACUUCACAUCACCUUGUAAUCUGUGGGUUCAGGGCCUCACCUGCCUUUAGAUAUAGGGUCCCAAGAACAUUACUAAGCCAGAGGCCCUAUUCUUGCUCCUACCUGUUCACAUAGUCUCCUGCCUCACCCCCUGUUAGGGACUGAAUGUUGGUGUCCUUCAAAAUCAUAUGUUUAAGCCCUACCUCCCAAUGUGAAGAUAUUUAGAGGUGGAGCUUUUGGGACGUAAUUGGGUUUAGAUGAGGUCAUGGGGAUUGAACUCUGUGUUGAAAGUAGUGCCCUUAUAGGAAGAGGAAGGGACCAGAACACUCCCUCCCCCUCUCUCUCUCUCCACCAUGUAAGGACAUAGCAAGAUGGCGGCUAUCUGCAAACCAGGAAAAGGGCUCUCAACAGGAACCAAAUCUCCGAACACCUUGUUCUUGGAUUUCCCAGCUCUAGAAUUGAGAAAUGUUUAUUAUUUAAGCCACCCACUCUGUGAGAUUUUGUUAUAGCAGCCCAAAUUGACUAAUAUACCCCUUGAGUAUUUCUGGGAAUCCCCAAAGGAACUCUUAUUAGUUUACACAUGUCUGUCCAUUUAUCACUAUGCGGAGUUUGCCAUUCUCUUCCUCUCCAGAUCCAUUACCGUAUGUUGAUAUCUGAUUCCCAGGGAGCCCCUUAUAGAAACCACACUGCUACCUGGGCAAAGGCCAUGCCAAAGGUCUGGUCCUGAUACUGCCCAAAUUGCCCACACCUCCUCAUGACACAGUGGACUGGGGUGGUAGCAGGAAAAGGGGCAACAACCUUGACUAGGGCUCUGAGAAGCAAGACACAUUGGGCCCAGAGGCCACAAGUCUCUCAACAGAGCUGUAAUUCAUGCUGCUUUGUACAAAGUGGUUGCACCUGGGAUUCACAGCCCCAGCCAAUUAACUCCUCCUCCCUUCUUCUACCACCUGGUGAUCCCAGAGGGCCUCAGGCCUAUGAAAUACCUCCAUGCUCUGCCACUGUGUGUCUGGAAAGCUCUGUGCACUGUUUGGAAAUCCUUAAGCUAAGCCCCUCAGUAACUGACUUGGAGUUUGUGAGUUAACCUACCCACUUAUCCCCCUUUCCUGAACUCAGCCCCCAGCAGGAAGAAUGUCUCUCUGCCCCUCACUCAAAAGGAAAGUGGUCCUGAUUUCCUCCCAGCGUCCUUCUCUCAGCUGGGAUGGAAGUUCAGCCCAGGCUCUCAGGAGGGACAACCCCCUCCCAACACUGUUCAUCCUUUUCCAGAUGGGAACAUAAAAGUUCCAGGUUUUUAUACCCCAACCACGAGCCUGUCUGUUCUUAUAACCUUCUGACAACUUCCAUUUCGAAAGGGAAAAACCUGCCAGAAUAACACAAACUAGGUUGAGUGGCAUCCACAAUUUGGCCAAAUAUGAGCAUUCCAUAUAUUGUGCUAUGGAAGAUAGAGAUUGUCAAAACAAGAGGAGUGUCUUACAGCUUGGUAUGGGACCCUGGUAGCAGGGCCUCACAAGAGAUCAUCAACAGGGGAGUGGGAUACUUCACAAAAUGGCAACCCUUCCUGGAACAGUGUCUCCUUGGAGUUUAGAGAAAGGAUGGUGCCUUUCUUUCCAUGACAAACAAAUGUUACUGAGACUAGUACUUAUUAAUGUAGCCCAUCUCUUGUGCCUUCUCCAUCCCAUUCCAUAUUACCAUCAUAGUCAUCUCUUUUAAACUUGACCUCAAUUCAGAUGAGAGAACAUGCCAGAACAAAACAUCUAUGAGUGAACAGGCCAACAGCACUCAGUUUCACAAAAGGUAGGGAUCUGAGUUCAAGUCCCUAGUCUCUACUUUUGGUGAUGAUGUGUGGUCAUGUGGGGAUGCUGGGCAAGUAAGUCAGCCUUCCAGGUUACAAUUGGACAGACAUAUGGAGUGAGGAAUUUUCUGCUAAGAAUGUGUGUCAUGAAGGGCUUGUAGGGACUGUAGGGACCUUUGGGGACUGUAGGAGGUGGUCCUUUCCUCAACCUGCUAUAUGGAAGGAGGAGGCACUUACAAUGACUCACAAGGUGCUUAUUAGCACUACCUGAAGAAUGCCAGUCACAGGCAGCAUGGCCUCAGAAGAGGUGGGAGUUCUUUUGGGAAUCCAUGCCUGAAUGGGUCUUGACUACACAGUUCCUGGGACCUGGUUUCUGUCUAAGGAAUUCCUAUAAUCUUCUUAGGGAUCACCCUCCCAGGGAUUUCAGGUACAGGGCAACCCUAGGAAGCCCCUUUGGGGCUGGCCUCCCAAUUCACUGCCUUCCCCACAUUACUGGAGUUGAUCAUCAUUAAUGGGCCCCCUAGUGAAACCCUUGUUGGGCAGCCAUAAUCAGUAGGUGUUAGCACUAUCUAGCAAUUUCCUUGGGCUGCCAACAGACAAUUGUCCAAGACAGGCAGCUUGAAAUAGAACCCAGCAGAAUAACUUGGUGGUCAAGGAGUGCCCUGGGGUCAAAACGGGGGUUCCACCAAGGGCCCCCUGUCUCCCUUAUCUAGACAAGAAAUUCUCCUCAAAGUUGCUUCCCUCAUGCUGACAUUGCCCAUCCUUUGUCAAAACAAGUUAAAAAUAAAAAAGUACAGGGAUGCCUGGCUGGCUCCAUUGGUAGAGUGUGUGACUCUUGAUCUAGGGGUCAUGAGUUCAAACCCUGCAUAGAGCUUUUAAAAAAUAAAUAAAAGAGAGGGGAAAAAAUUAAAAAGUAGAAAACAUUUUCUUAAUAGUAAAAUAAGCUAGAAGACGCUAAAGGGAAAGUAGAUUGAGGGGCAAAAAGUAAACAGUGCUGACGAUGAAGGUGAAGGCCAGCCAAAAUAUGCCCACAGGUGGCCCAAAGAGGUAGGUGACCACAGUUGUGGGUAGCAGCUACCCUGUGGCCAGCCAGCGCCAAGCUACAUUCCCAGCAGUGUCCCCAGAGGUAGUGUCCUAGAACUACAUACACCCCACCCUGAGCCUCAGAUGGAAGCCCCUUAAAGCACAGCAUUGUGCUUGGAUGACACAGUAGCUCUGGAAUCAACAGACAUCUCCUCUAAAGCAGGUCAAGGACAGCACUUCUUGAGAGAGGCCUCCUAAUUCCAUCAACCUGAGGGGCUACCCUGAGACGUGGCCUGUGCUAGCACCUGGAAUUCCACUUGGCCUCACUGCCCAUGGAACUCCCAGUCUGAUGGGGAUACUUUUUCCUCCCAGUUUUAUUGAGGUAUAAUUGACAAAUAAAAAACUGUAAUAUAUUUGAAAUGUACAAUGUGGUGAUUUGAUAUACGUAGACAUUAUAAGAGGAUUGCCACAACUGAGUUAAAAACAUAUCCAUCACCUCACUUAUUUACCUUCUUUUUUUCUAAUGAGAACACUGAAUUUAUAUUCUCCUAGCAAAUUUCAGUUAUACAAUCUGGUGUUAUCAACUAUAGUCACCAUGUUUUACAUGAGAUCCAUAGACCUUAUUCAUCUUAAAACUGAAAGUUUGUACCCUUUUACUAACCUGUCCUCAUUUUCCCCCACCCCUCAUUCCCCUGGCAACCACAUUUCUACUCUGUUUCUGUGUGUACGACUUUGACUUUUCUCCCCUCAUUCUAAUGUAGUCCAGCUUGUCCACCUUUUCCUUAUGCUUCGUGUUUCUCAUGCCGUGUUUAAGAAAUCUCUCCCUGCCCUUAAGUCAUAAAAAUAUUCUCCUUUAUGAUCUUCUGAAAGCUUUAUAGUUUUACCUUUCACAUUUAAGUCCUUAACCCGCCUGGUCUUGAUUUUUGUGUGUGAUGUGAAGUAGGCACCCUAUUUCAUUUUUUAUCCUUAUGGAUACCCAGUUGUCCCUGCACAAUUGACUGAGAAGGCUAUUCCCUCCCCACUCCUGUGCACUGUCUCCCCUAUCAUAAAUGAGACUUUAUCUGUGCAUUGGGCUGUCUCCAGGCUCACGAUUCUAUUCCAUCAGCCUGUCUGUCCAGCUUUAUACUAAGACCACAGCAUAAAGAUGUCAACAGCUACUUACCCAGGCUAUGCUCAUUAAGGAUUAGAAAGCUAAAGGUUGGGUAUAGCUACAUUAGUUAAGGAACUAUAGGUAAGGAUCUUGAAAAUCAAUUGGAAAGGCUUGGAGUUGGCAUAGGGGGCAAAGGGGUUCCCUAGCAUGUCAGGGAAUGGAAGAGAUUGAUUCUUAGGAGGGUGAAUGGGCAGUCAAGUCAGGGCUCAAUAGGGGAGCAUGGGGCUGAAGAAAGAAUGCAUGGGAUUAUUGGAGUGUUCAAGGCUGAGAUCACAGAAUCAUAGUGGCCUGGAUGAAGGAGGUGGCAGUGGAAACAGAAAGGGAGGGAUGCGUCCAAGAGACAUUUAGAAGAGGAAGUUAAAAUGAUGGCACUUUGUUAUGAGUCAGGGGAAGAAGAAGGGAGUUGGAGACUGAAAGAUGAUGCUAAGCUUUCUAGCCCAGAAACUGAGAGAUGAUUCUGGUUUGAUGAAAGAGACCCAUAAAGUAGUUGGGGGAGUGUGUUUUUCUGCUACGCAGUCCUGAAAGUUCAGUUGGUAUUCCAGAGAGAGCUGGAGUGGUCCUGACUGCACACAAAACCCCCAAGCCAGGCUGUUGAGCACUAACACGCGACCCGUGGCUUUGGGCUUUGGGGUUGAAGGGGGACUUUGAGCCAUAUUCAGACCCCCUAGGCAGUGUUGAAUGGAUUCACUUUGCAGUCUGAACCAAGUUGUAUCAUAAGGACGUCCUAAAACACACAAUUUGCUAAGUAAGCAACUACCUUUCCAAUGGCAAAAGUCACCCAGAUUAAAACAACAGCAGCAACGUGGGGCACCUGGGUGGGUCAGUUGGUUAAGUGUCCAACUUCAGCUCAGGUCAUGAUCUCAUGAUUUGUGAGUUUGAGCCCCACAUCAGGCUCUGUACUGACAGCUCAGAGCCUGGAGCCUGCUUCAGGCUCUGUGUCUGCCUUGCUCUCUGUCCCUCCUCCACUUGCACUCUCUCUCCCAAAGAAUAAAUAAACAAACAAAAAAAACCCAGCAGCAACAAAAAUAGUGACCAAAACUAAAGGAAAAACUAACUUAAGCUAAUUCAUGGAACACCAUGAAAUAUAUCUAAUAUUGAGGGGCGCCUGGCUGGCUCAGUCAGUGGAGCGUGUGACUCUCGAUCUCAGGGUUGUGAGUUCGAGCCCCACAUUAGGGAUAGAGCUUACUUUAAAAUAAAAUCUUUUAAAAAAUAAAUAAAAGGUAUACUGAAUACUUUGUAAAGGCUUGAAAUAUUUUUUCUAUCGGCCUGGUCUGUUUAUUUUUUUUUUUUUUUUUAAAUUUUUUUUUCAACGUUUAUUUAUUUUUGGGACAGAGAGAGACAGAGCAUGAACGGGGGAGGGGCAGAGAGAGAGGGAGACACAGAAUCGGAAGCAGGCUCCAGGCUCUGAGCCAUCAGCCCAGAGCCUGACGCGGGGCUCGAACUCACGGACCGCAAGAUCGUGACCUGGCUGAAGUCGGACGCUUAACCGACUGCGCCACCCAGGCGCCCCUGGCCUGGUCUGUUUAAAUGCAUAGCAACCUUCCUCUAAUAGUAUUACUGAAAAGCCAAAAGCAUAUUUACAGAGACUGGAUGUGUAUAAAGAGCAGAUAAAUCAAGUCUCUUGAGAAAAUCAAGUCCCACAGCAGAUUGUAUCAAUUGUAAGACGACUACAAUAGUGUUCACAACUCAAUUACACCACCAGUUGGAUUUUUAGAAAGACACCAUUCACAUUUUAGGUCAUAAAAUUAUUCCCUUAAUCCCUUAAACAUCAAAUAAAAUGAAGAUUUAAGAUAAUAUUCACUUGGUUAGCAAUGAUAUGAAAAUCUUUGGCAAAUAAUUACAAAGGAUUUGGCAACAUAAUAACUAGCUAAUUCCAGCACAUAUUUAACAAAGAAUGUGUUGUGGGUGUUUACUUUUCCUUUUUCUAUAUGAAAAUAUAAAAGCUUUUCAUUCUUUUUUUUUAAUGUGUAUUUAUUUAUUUUGAGAGAGUGCACAUGAGCAGGGGAGGGACAGACAGAGAGGGAAAGAGAGGAUCCCAAGCAGGCCCUUCCCUGUCAGCAUGGGCCCCAAGCCAGGGCUCAAUCCCAUGAACUGUGAGAUUACAACCUGAGCUGAAAGCAAGAGUUGGAUGCUUAACUGAGUGAGCCACCCAGGUGCCCCUAAGAGCCUCUCAUUCUGAAUACUGUUGAUGCUUGCCAGGAAGCCAAAAGUGCUGUGAGAGCAUGUCCUGGGCAUGAGGGGCCGAGUCAGUAAGGCUAGGCCCCUGGAAAUGUCUUCCCCUGAAAGACAGUCAGAGUCCAUCAUCCAAUCAAGCUAAAAUGUGGCACAGGCCACAAAGUUGUCAUCUUGAGUUUCUGUAGCCAACUCUCCUUUGUUCCCUGGCAUGAGAGCCAAUGCUGGCUUCUGGGCCUGAGAAACCUUACGCCCAAGCCAUCCAGCUUUCAAGUGCAGAAGUCUUGUUUCAGAAAAGCCAGAACAAUACAAGUAUCCUAACCUAGAUACUCAUCCCUGUCAUUCAUUCACUCCCUUACUCACUUAUCCAUUCGUCCACCCACACAAUCACUCAUCCACUCACCCAUUCACUCAUUCAUUCACUUGUUCAUUCAUCCACUCAUUCAAUCACUCAUUCACCAAUUCAGUCAUCCAUUCGGUCACUCCUUCAUUUACUCACACACACACACACACACACACUCAUUCAUUCAUCCACUCACUCACUCACUCAUCCACUCACUCAUUUCACAAGCAUUUCUUGAGUGUUUGCUGUAUGCCUGAUGCCAAGAGGGCUGCAGAGUGUAUCAGGCCAUGGCCCCUCAUAUCAAGGAGCUCACUCUUAGUGAGAGACAGAAGAAUAGACAAGGGAACCACACCACAGGGCAGAAGGAAAUAAGGGUAAUGUGGAGAUAGGAAGAGCCAGGGAGUGCAGAAGGAGAAGUUAAUUCCACCUCUAAAAUACUACAUCAUUUACUUCUUUCGUUUAUUGCCUCUCUUCCCCACUAGGUCAGCUCCGUGAGAGCAGAGGCUUUUAUUGGUCUUCUUCACUGCUGUAGCCCCUGUGCCUAGAACACUGCCUGCCACACAGUGUGUGCCCAUUAAAAUAUUGAAUAAAUGAGUAAGUUGUGGGGGGAGAAGGGAGAAAUGUGGUAGAACUCUUUGGAAAUGCUUCACAGAAAAGGGAAUCCCGGGCAUAGACCUUGUAAGAGAGAAGGGUGUUGGUGGAUACCUAGAACUGAAUAACAUCUCGGUCUGAGGGAGUAGCGGGAGCCAUAGCCUGGGGGUGGGAGAUCGCCUGGCAUGUUCAGGGAACAGAGUUGUCUCGAAUACAGGAAUGCAGGACAUCAGGAGAAUGUUGCCAAAUAAGAUUGAGAGCAGAUCACCAGGAGCAUUCAAAGCCAAGUGCUGCUUGUUCUCCUGGCCGUGUCGGGGUCUAAAGAAAGAAAUCUGCCAUCCACUUACUGAGAAGGCUGAACACCUAGUGGAUCCAAGCGCACCCUGGGAAAUUGCAGAGGAGCUCUGAUUCCCCUUCCGGAGUACCUAUUGGGCACCUGCUGUGUCUGCAUGAAAAGACUAACACAGAGGAAAAACCAGUAGCAGAAGGUGAAACAGCAAAAGCCCUGGCAGGGAAGGAGGCAGGGGUGGGCCCCAAGCUGGGCCUCCUAGUCUGGCUGUCACUUCUGUGAUGGGGACAGGCCAGCUGAUCCCAAGGGCCCCUGCAGGCUUGACAUUCUGGGACUCUAAUUAAAGCCUUGGAAACUUCAUUCCAGAUAGCUGGGGAAAUCCUUGGGUUCAAAUUCACCUCCCAGGGCUGGCAGUUCAGCUGGCACUGAGGCAGUUAAAAAGGAAUGGAAUGGAAAUCCAGAGGGCCUGCGUCAGCCUAAUUGUCUCUCAGCAGACUUGUUUGCUUCUAGAUGUCAGCAACUCUUAUAGGAAUGCAGAACAGCGGCCUUUUCACAGGCAAGGGUCUGGAGGUUGGUUUCCCAAACUUUUCUUUUUACAUUGUGAAGUGGAUGGGUCCCGUAGUCCAAGAAGAAAUCAAAGGCCAAGACCUUUCCAAACUCAGCUUCCCAGAAACCAAACAAGAAAGGUGGGGCUGUGGUCCAAUGGACUACAGGGCCACCCUUGUCAUAAACAAGUCUCUGUUUUCAUGGAAGUCGAUCCCACAGGUGGCUGGGCUGUCCUUUCUGGGUCCAUGCCACUAAGGCCCAUGAGAGGCCAGCAGCACCGCGCACCCUUCCUGACACGCAGACUGUGUCUGCAUGGAGGAACCAGCUUAGGGUAAAGGGCUAUGACCAGUGAAACAGCUGGUUACUAGAAAAUCACCAGAACCAGUCACGAAAAACAAAGUAAAUACACACCUCAGACAAGUUCUUAUCUCUUAUUUCUGCAGUUUGACUGAGUUUCACUCUCUAAAAAGUGUGAGUGUAGCAUGGUCCAAGCCAAACACCAACCAUAAGGAGGCUCAGCGAAGCCACUCAGUUUUUAAGGGUGAAUGUAAGCAGCUUCCCACCAGUGCAGGGGGAUAUGAUGAGAGUGGGUGGGGAAGGGAGGUGGGAGGCCAAGCCCCAAGAGGGGUUCAGCCUUGGAACCUGGUAGCUGUGGCACAAUUGCUAGGUGGGAAGCCAGAGGUGAGAUCCAAGGGGAGAGGCAAAAGAUCCAGCUGUGGAACCUAAGACUGAGGAGCCCAUGCACGAGCCUGGGGGAGAAGCCAGGGAAGGAAUUAGGAAGACAGAUCUGGGCUCCAGAGCCUGGGGGCCUCCCUGCGGGCAUCUCCUCAGUGGUAUCCAUAUAUGUGGGGAGGGGUGCUGAUGAAGUUCAGGUUUGGUCAUAGUCCACUGGAGGAGCUUAAGGAAUAUUCAGGUGAACGUGUCUAGCAGACGCUUGGACAUACAUCUUUGGCACUGAAGGGAGAGGGAGGGCCCGGGAGCCCCAGGGACGAUGGCCCCUCACACACCCUCAACCUCCUCUGUCACCUUGGUCACCAGGUCCUCCACAUUGUUUCUGGUUCACCCAAACCCCUCUGGAGCCCUGGAACCCCGAGUCUGGGGCUUCAGGCCCCUGCGCUGUCCCAGGGGUGAGGUCCUCUGGGGCCCAGCCGCCCACCGCGAGUGGGGCCCACAGCCCCUUGCCCGGCCAGCCUCUUCCUGCCCUCGUGCCUGCACCCUCAGGCUGGCCCCAUGGAAGUCUCACUCUCCAAGGCUAGUCCUCUGCCCCUUAGCACCCGCCCAGUUGGCUCUCUGAGGAGGACCAGGUCAGGGCUUGGUGGGGAGGGGGGCCCCCAGACUGCAGCCUGCGUCUGUCUCCUCUGUGCAUUCCUGCCACACUGGGGACAUGGGCCAUCUCUGUGCUGGCAGGCGGGGUUCUGCCACUAGAGCCACUGGUUACCCCGGAAGCCCUGGGUGCACCUCCGCCAGGCAGGGACCUGCCUGCGGCUCAACGAGUGGCCUGCUGUCCUUUGCUGAGAGGCCCAGCACCAGGGGAGGCUGGGGAAGCCACCGGCCUGCAAAUGGCAGUGCCCUCCCACUUGGGGGGAGCAGCCCGCUCUUCAAGGGCUGUCGGGGACAGACAGACAUUCAGGUAGGAGGUGAAGGGGACCCGGGGCUGAGGCCCCGUGCCUGGGUUCCUCUGACAGCCUGGGAAGGAAGGGAGAGGUGAGGGAGAGAAAGAGGGGCCACGGAAAGAGGGGAGGAAGGAGGGCACCCAUGGUUUUCCUGGGCACCCAUUGGAAAAGCGCCACCUGUCGGCACCAGGGCCAACCUGGGACCAGGGUGGCUAAUUCUGAGACGUGCUCUGUGUUCUCGGGGCCCGUGUGCUGGACAGAUGCCACCUUCAGCAGGUGAGUGGGAUCACUAUACCAAGCCAACUGAAUCCCUGAGGAGGAAAUCUCCCAGAUUUUCCCCAGCCUCGGACCCAUUGCUCCUGGUGGUCUUGGAAGGGACUUCUAGGUCCUCUCUCUGGAGACCGUGGGUGCCUGGAGAGACCAUGAAGACAGCUCUGGCCAAGGACACAGAGACCCUUGGCUGGCCCUGACUUGCCUGUCACCUUGGCUACAGGCCCUGCCCCCUGUGGGCCUGGCCUCCCCCACCUGUCAGCAGCUUGGGCUGGGGACCUGGCUGACCUGACAGGCCCUGCCUGUCCCUCCCACAGGCUCUCAGAGCCUGGCCGGCUCAGGGCUCCAGGUUUCAGGCAUGUGAGGGCCCUCUGGGCCACCCUGGGUCAACCCUGGCCGCCUUAUUGAUGCACAGGGAUGGGAGGCCAAGCCAGCCUUGGGCCCAUCUGUCUCCACCCCUUCAGUCCCAGUACCGCUCCAGGGACAGGGUGCCCCUUCCACUGUGGGGCUGAUAAAGAGCUUCAUCCCUAGCUUGUCCUCCCCCCCUCCACCAGGGCAAUGCCAGUCCAAGGCCCCUCUAGUCUACCCAGUGUGGGCUUCUGGGGCUGAGGGUUGGUCUCUGGGCAGUGUCCUUUGCUUGUUUUCUGCCUCUUGUUCAUUUUAUUUUUAGCCCACUUCACCAGGCUCUGUCUGGCCUCGGCAGAAUGGGAGCAUGCCCAGAGAAACUGGUGAGCACAUUAGCAAGGCAGGUGGGCAGAGGGUCCACUGAAGGGCUGCGAGGCCAGCUGAAAGAUUGUUUGACUAGCUUCAUCUAUUUAUUAGUGCGCUUGGAAACUGCUAUUUAUAUUUUAACCCUCCAGGGACAGCCAUGCAUCUGUGGAUAAAAAGAGUUGGUGUGUUUCCAGCCUUGAAAGUAAGAAAUAAUCAGUGGUCACAGACCUCGCUGAGACUGCUGGAGUGGGAGACUGAGAUGCCCUUAUAGUAGCUGCCAGGGGUGGUGGGUGUCCCCAUGCCUGCACCCCCUCAGUUUGGAGGGGUUGUGCGUGCUGGGGAUCAUUAUAAGCAAAGGACAGUACAAGCCCAUGAAAAAUGUCACAGCAAUCAUGUAAAGGUUUCACACCUGGGAAAAUGGGGACACCAACCUCCCUUGCAGAAAGUGCUAGAGGCCACUGGGAGAGUCGAGUGAACAAGGCUAGAGCCAGGGUUCCUUCCCUCUAUGCAAGAAGGUGGCAUUCACAGGCCUAGAACUAGCCCCCUCUCCCCCUGCCCCAUCCCUGAAGGUGUCUGUGGUCGGCACUGCACCCCACCUCUGAGCAGGUGCCGAGCACCCGGGUCCAGCUUCUGCGCAGCUGCCAGGCCAAGGGCCCCAUGGGAUCUGUGUGGAAAGUGGAGCUAGAUGAGCCUCUCUUUGAGGGAGGGCCAUUCCAGCUGAAUCCGCCCUGAUCCUGCCACUGGGAUCCCAGAGGGGCUGACAGGUGGGAGUGAGGCCACCAAGGGGUCAGCCUGGGGGCGGUCAGCAGGGGUUGGCCAGUUGGAUACCGGACUCCUGCGCUCCUGCCUGAGCUCAGGCUCAGGGCUCCUGGCAAGUGUCUGACCCUAGCUUCUUGAAGCCGACUGGGAAACUUCCUAAUAUUAAGGCUUUUCCACUGAGAGCUGUUUGUGUCUCAGAGGCCCCUGUGUUUGGUCUGCUAUAAUGGCGAUGUUUUGGGAUGCUUAUCAAUAAGCAUUUUAACAAUUUGCCAGGGCCUGCUUGUUAUUUUGGGUAGCACUGGCUGCUGUCUCUGCAGCUUACUAAUGGGAGACAGUUUAAGGACAUGUGUAGACAUAACUGAGUUCUUCCUGGAGCAAGACUAGCUUGCAAGCAUCUCAGAACUUAACAGGAGAAAAGCAACCCAAAUCCAGCACCCCCUCCCAGGAGAUCUCUUUACCUUGCUAAUGGCACCCAGCAAUGUGCAUUUCAAUUCCUGGCAGGGCGUUUUCUGUGGAGUCUGGCAGUUCUAAUGGUCUCGUUUGCCUUGCAUUGUGCGUUCCGGGCCCCAGGCGUUCCGCCUGCUCGGUCUUGGCCUUCAGAGCUACUGGAGGGAAGGAAGCCGCCCCUGCCACCCCUGCCUGGGCUCCCCUGCGCCUCCGCCCUGGCCCAUCCAAGGGCGCCUGAGUACAGCUCAGGUUGGAGCUCAAUUAACAUGUCAAGCCGAUAGUUUAUGGCUAAAUCUACAUACAUCAUAAUCUAAAAGCAAACAUUUGCCUUCGAUAGCUCUAAUUUACGCAUAGACUCAGUUUAUUGUUCGCGUCUUAAUUAUUUUUUUUGAAUAGCUUGGUGGCAGAAAAUCAAAGCCUGAUGAGUUUUAUAUUAGACACUGCAACUUCUUUUCUUGUGUGUUUUUUCACGUAAAACAUCUCAUUAAUACAGGUAAUCUGGAGGCUUUAUAUUUAAACUUUUCCUGCUCAUAAAACAAACUGAAUGAAAAUGUAACUAAUCUGUAGAGAAACUUUCUCUCCUUUUGUUUUCUUAUCAGAUACAUCAGCAAACACAUGGGUGAGAGAGGAAGGCUGUGAAACAAGAAAAUGAAUAAAAUUCCAAUCAAAGGUAUGUUAAAGGAGUUUUACAGGCCCUAGUAAAUUAUGUUCCACGAAAGAAGUUCAGUUAACACAGUGCAUAGGAGGGGCAUGCUUCUUCUUCUUUUGGCCUUCUUUUCAGAAAGCGUUCGCUUGGGAGUCCUCUUGGGCCCCAGCACAGUUGGAUGAGGGCCCAGGGGCCACAGGCCACAAGCCACAGGCACAGUAAAACCAGCGCCCGCCUGCCGUAAGCCUGCCUUUUCCCCGGUAGAGCUUUUGCUGCCUUUCUUCUUAGCGUCCGGGCCUCUGCAGACCACUGAGCCACAACAGGGCUUGUCUGUGGCCCCUCUGCUGGCCAGUCAAGAAGCCAGGAGGUGAUCCGAGAGCUACCCGACUCCAUAUCCUUGGCUUUUGGCCUCGGUGGCCAGAGGAAACUCCCCCCUGAUCUCAGCCUAGAGCUUAAAACUCUUGGAGGCGACUGUGAGGUUAGUUAGAGAGGGUGCUGGAGGCAGAGGAAGGCUCUGGGGUUCAGGCACAUCUCUGGGCUUUGUAGAAGCGUCUCCCCUCCCUCCUGAGCCCUGGCCCUGUCAGUCCCAUUGCCGGCUUUGGCUGGGGACCCAAAUCUCAGGACACAAAGAGGCUAUUUAGGUGCAAAUAUCCCUAAUGAAUAAAGAAAGGAGAUUCACUUGCCAGAUUAUUUAAAGCAAGUUGUCUAAAACCAUUUCUCUUUAGCCAGCACGUUGGCCCCGGUGGUGGUGGUGGUGGGGGGGGAGUUGCUGUAAGACACAUAGCAGCCCUCAAAAGCCUGUCUUCAGAAUCCCUCCUGGAACCAAUACCUGCAAGGAGGAAUUGACGAGCAAAUUACAAAUUAUUGCCAUGAACUGAGUGCAAAGGUGCCUCUAGCGGGCCACGGGAAAAGCGCGUGUGAACCGGUUGAUUUGACUAGACUCUUCCCAGCCAACAGAUUCUCAACCAGCCUCGUCACCAGGAGACUGAAAGUGAGGAAGUGGCCAGAUGGGACUGGAGACUCCUUGGACAUUUCCUGACUGGCAGGGCUUCUCUCUGGCCCCUGCUGGCAGGGCUGCCAGUGCCACCACUGCCUGCCUGGUGCGCCGCCUUUGGCUGAGAGGGGCUGGUCGGGAGCCAGGUCGAUUAGAAGCUGUGCUGGGCUUGAUGGCCACGCCCUGGUACCCUUCCAGUUUGGCUUAGGAAAAGGCCAUGAUGGGAAGGAAGAAUCACAGGGCUGGGCCUCAUAUCCUCGUCUGCCAUUCCUACCUCUACUCCAGUAUUAAAACGUUUUGCAGACUUCACAUAACAGCUAGCGAUGCUUUAUCAUCCACCGAUCAAGAAACACAAAAAGACAAAUAGCCACAUAAAUAUGCAAGGCAAAUCUGUCUAUAGACAGACAAUGCUUGGUAUACACAUGGGUCCAUGAACUCCUGCCAAUAAUGCCCCCAUUCAUUCACUCAGCCAACAUUUACUGAAGACCCACUACGUGCCAGCCCUGUGUUCGAUGCUGGGCCCAAAACAAUGAGAAAGACACAGCCCCUGCCUUCUGUGUGUGCACACUCUACUAGGGGAGGCAGACAGGAACCACGUACACAUGGUCUUUGAGAAAGUCAGUAUCACUGGGCUGAAGUCCAGGAGUUGGCAGGUUUGUGCUCCCUCUGAAGGCUCUGAGAGGGUCCUUCUGCACUUGCUCCAGCUUCUGGGGGCACCUUGGCUCAUGGCCAUAUCCCUAGGUUCUGUAUUGCUCCUCAUCUUAGCACACUUAUUGUUGGAUUUAGAGCCCACCCAGAUAAUCUAAGAUGAGCUCAUCUCGAUUAACUUGAUUACCUCUGCAAAGAUCCUUUUCCCAAAUAAGGUCACAUUCAUAGAUUCCUGGUGGACAUAUCUUUCAGAGGCCACCAUUCAACCCACAACAGUAUGAACAUAGGGGUCUUGGGAAGCACACACCCCAAUGUUGGGGGCCAUUUCUGGUGCUCCCCACAGCUUGCUGCUACUGCUGUCUGUGGUGUUUGAUCAGACCUUCCUGCUACAUGAGUCACCUGACUUCUUCUAGUGUGUUACAUACUGGAAUCUGCAUUUCCUCUGAGUUGGUUAUGUCUGUCUCCCAACCACUAUCUAUCUAUCUAUCUAUCUAUCCAUCUAUCUAUCUCUGUCUCUAUCUAUCUCUAUCUCUAUCUCUAUCUCUAUCUCUAUCUAUCUCUAUCUGUUUAUCCAUUCAGCCACCAGAAGUGUUUUUCUAAAGGCUGGCUUGGCUCCUGCCCUUACAAGCCUUUGAUGCCUCCCCGGUGCCUGUGGGAUGCUCUCUGAGCUGCUCAGAUGUUGAGUCUGGCCCUCAACAUCGGGUGGACACAGCCUACUAGCCACCCUCUCCCCAGUCCCCCACCCACCCUCAUGAACAUCCAUGUCCCAUACCUGUCCCGUUUCUUCUCCCCAGGAUAUCCUGGGCUCCUCUGUCCCCAGGCCUCUGCUCACGCCUUCCUUGCCUAGGAUAUUUUCCACACCUGCUCACCUUCUUUCUACCUUUCCAAGUUCAGCUCAAACCCCACCACUUCCUAGAAGCCUUCCCAGUCCUGCAGAGCUGAGAAUAACUCUCUCUAGUCCCUUCCUGAGGGUCCAAGGGUCCAUAUCAGGGUGGCCAAUUCUCCUAACUAGGAGUCUCUUUCUCCCCCUGUGGGAUAGAGUUGAACUUGCCUUCCAGUCCCCAACACCUGGUACAUGGUAAGAAACGUAGUGGGUUUUUGCAGAAAGAAUUUGAGGGGGAUGUGUGCAUCUUAUUGCUUCUUCCAUUGCUUGGUUGGCAAGGAAGCUAACCAAUUCCCAGAGGGGUGGAAAGCUAGGAAAACCAGCUGAGAUGGAAGGGGUGCAGUGUCAUCUGGUAUAAUAGAUGGCAUCCAAAGAGACUCACUCCUGCCCUGUCCUCUCUUGCUGCCCCUUUUCUGCCGGAUGCCCCCGGUCCACCAUCUCCCAGGCAUACCCACCCUUGUCUUGGCACAGUUGUCUUGGCACAGGGAUUUGACAUUCAUUCUGUUGACACCUGAGUGCAGAUGUCCCCUGAGCCCCCUUUCCUGGUUCCUCCUUCUUUCAACCAAAGCCAGACCUCUCAGCUCCUCUGGCUGCUGAAAUGUAAGGCCCCCCAAGGCCAUGGCUAAACAUCAUACCCAAACCCCAACUCAGCCGCACCCCUGGAGUCUGUGCCCAGAACCUUUUUGACUUGGCCCUCCUCAGGAUACACAGCGCCUGGUAGCCAUCUUCAGCCGUCCCCUUGUGUCCUACCCACUCAGGGACUUGCUGGUUUUGUCCUCAGCUUCUUCUUGGCCCUCAGCCUCCUCACACCUGCUUUCAUGGGAGCAUCAGCCUAAGAACUCCAUUCUGCCAUCACUAUGGUGCAGGGAGGGGACAGAGCAUGAACCCUGACAUCAGCCCUGGGGUCACAUCCCAGCUCUGCCUUGUACUUGCUUGUGACCUGCUUGGAGCCUCAGUUCCCAAUGAGCUGUUCAUUCACUUAGAAAAUUUUUAUGGGUGCCAGACAUACUAAGUGCUAGUGAUUGAGGUUGCAGCACUGAAAAGGACAGAAACUAUGCCCUCAAGGAGUUCAGGGCUUGGGCUUGUGAGGCGCUAGCCAUGCAAAUGAUAAUGAUGGAAGAAGAUCAAGGCUAUAAUGUUGGGGCCCCAUGCUGUGCUCUGAUGUGCCUGCAGAGCUCUAAACAAUCUCCCACUCUCAAGCAUUAUAUUAUAAAAACACAGCGAAGAGCUAAGGGCUAGAGAAUUCUGCAGUUGCAAUAAAAAGUCACUUUUCUUGCAAGGAUUUCAAUAGACAGACUUUUUUAAAAAAUAGCUGUGGGUGUAUUUGGCUAUUGCCAGCUAAGAUAAUCAGCUGUUCCAAAUGGACAGAACAGACAUGAACACCACCAAGCCCAUGCAGAACAGCACGCAAAACCAAAGUCAAGUUUCUGAACUGCCAAAAUACUGUGUGUCCUCAAUUUUAAGAUGGUGUCAUUGAAAAGAUGCAAAUAAUUUGAUGUGUUUUUUUUUUUUCAGGAAGAAAUAAGGCAGCAAAACCACGUCAAAGUUAUCCCUGUAUAGUGCCGAGUGUGACAGCAUUAACGAGUGAGAAAGCACGGGCUCUGAAAAUUCCCUCUGCAGCCCACCUCCCACCUGCCAGAGGCCUCAGGCGCACCAGCCACUCUGCACAGACGACACUUCCACCCCCUCCCAUGUCUGUGGCCCUAUGUCCCAGCUCCUUUCAUAGCCAAGAGCAAGCCGCGUAGUGCUACUCUGGCUGCCUAGCGAUGUUUUUCUGUCCCAUAGGACUCACAACAGGAGAAAUGGUUGUGUGCAAAGGAGUGACAGGGGAAAGGAGCAGCCACAUCCCUCCCUGGGAGGGGUCCAAGACCUGGACCGCAGUAGCAG
rnacentral:lncRNA from 1 species